rnacentral:lncRNA from 1 species
UGAAUUUUCUGUUGAUAUUUUCAGGAUCGCAUGUAAUAUUCUCUUUUCUUUCCCGUCUAUUGAACAAAGUUCUUUCUGUAGUCAUUUGGGUUGUUCCGCGGACAUGGCCCCUCUUUAAUGUUAUCUGAUCUUUGUAUCAACAAUGAAUCAGCCUUACAAAUGGAAGAUUCAUUUUCUGUUUAUUUCUGCAAUUUGGCUUCUGCCGAAGCAGCCUUGUAAAACCAACACUUUGAACAUGAACAUUCAGAGUGCCGAUUUGAGCAAAAUAACUGAGAAGAAUCACACACUUUGGCAGCUUCAACACUUAGUACUACUAGUAGAUAUCUGGAAGCCUCUUUGUUGGCAUGUGAAAUCCUGAUUACGGAAUUCAUAUGUACACAGUAAUGCAUCUGUGCUUGUUUUCUGAAAGAUAGGAGUAUAUAUAUGGUUUAUAUCAUUUUGGUAGCUGAUAAGAGAUACACCAGUAAUUGGGAUACACUGAUUGGUCCCUAGACUAGGCUGAUGACAACCAAGCAUUAUUAGAGCAGUAAUUACGGUGACGCUGAAGUUUUAGUCUUUCAGAGCAACACGCCCAUAGCUUGCAUAAACGUGCUGAUUGCAGGGAGGCAUCAUCUGUUACAAAUAUAAAUGAAGAUAACAUCAAUCCACACCGUCCUCUUGGUCGCUGUCAAUCAUAUCAUGGUAUUUGUUCAUCAUCUGUAGCAAAUGGAUACAAGGAAUUGCAAAAGGUGCCACAUAUGUUACCCCCUCCAAUCCAAAUUAAUUGUCGCAGCCAUAGUACAAUUUUGUAAAAUUAAUUUGAAUUAAAGGGAGUAUCUGGAAUAUAAAAGAUUAAGUAAUCAGUAAAUUGAGGAAUAGGGCAAAUGGUCAACAAAUCCAAGUAAAAUGGGGGCUAAUCAUGUAAUCCUAAGUAAAGGGAAGCAAAUGAUCAAGUCCCCAAAUAAUGCGGGGCAAAUGAUCAAGUGCCCAAAUAAUGCGGGGCAAAUGAUCGAAUCUCCCUUCUGAAAUAAGCAUCAAGCCAAGUUUUAGCAAGGUUCAUCUCCAACAAUUAAAAGCACAGGUUAGAUAUACAUAGCUUACAUAGUUGCCUUCUUAUGAACAAUCUCAGAAUCAACAUCUCUAUCUAAGAAGGAUUUCUUCAGGUGUUUCUUUCCCCCUUUUCUCAUCAUCAUGGUCAGUCUCAGAAUCAUCUUCUGAAUCAUACCCAUGCUUACCCUUCUUAGAACUUGUGCUGUUGCCAUUCCCUUUUUUCCCCUUACUCUACGCCUGUUACCAUAAUUGAAAGCCCUCCUGUUGCUCUGAACAUCGAUGUCCAACAUUCUUCUUCAGAACCCAUCCUUCCCAGGUACAAGCUCCCCACUGUCUACUUGAGCGUUCCUCUUCUGUCCAACCUCAGCAUCUAGCCCAAGAGCAGCCCUCAUCGCCUCGAGCUUCUUCUCCUUGCGUGCUGCGACAUGGUGGCUCUGCAUACCCAUGAACCUGAGAAGAGUUUACCUUCUUGUCAGGAAGCAUUGCCAAACUACCUAACAGAAGAUACAACUGCACACAUGAACUGUAAAAUAACAGUACAGGAAACCAAGAUUAUGCUUCACUAGGAACAGCAUAAGCUACAAGUUGUCAUACUGAACCGAAAUUCAGGAGUCAAUUAUGCUUUCAAUGUGAAUAUCCUCCAACAGCAAAUGAAGAAAUCAGAUUGAAAACUUGCACAUGAACGCAUUGCCAAAUAUCUGUCACUGGCCUCCUUCUCAGAAUUGAAAAAAAAAACAUAUGAGCGGUUCUUGGACCCAUACCCUUCGCCCGGACGCGGUGCUGCACCCCCGGCGCCGCCGCGGGCAGCCUCCAGCUCGGCUUUCUUGCGCGCCUCCUCGACGCGCUCCUCGAUCUCGCCUUCCGUGUAGCCCUGCUCCUCGAGGGUGUCCCUCAGCUCGACCAGCCGCAGCUCCACCUGCCGCCUCCGGUCGUGCUCCAGGAUCUCCUUGUUCGGCUUCCGCGUCCCGGCGGCGCCGUCGUCGUGGCUGUGGAGCGGCGCCUUGGGCGGCGGGCCGCCGGUCCGGGGCUGGAUGAAGAACUUGUUGGUCUGGACGUGCCCAUUCGUGCCGGACCCGCGCGCCGUCUGCAGCCCGAUGCCGUUGUACAUGGCGGCGACGACCACGGCGACGGCGACGGCGGUUCAGGCGAAACCCUAUGCUUUGAGCGAGUUGGGCUCGAUCCCAACUGUAAGACGACGGGACGAGGCGAGAAGAGGAGUGGGCCUGAUUUUAUUUUUACCCAAACGAGUUCGAGACGGUGUCUGAUUCGGAUGGGCCUAAAGAAAAAGAUUCGGGUGGGCCGUGCACGUGUGUGUACAAAGGGUUCUACUAAAUAAAAACAAAUCUUCUUCUCAAAAAAAAAAAAAAUCCAGGCUUUCAAAUAUUCGGGGAUCUUAGACCCGGCAAUUUUUGAAGCUUUGGCAAGCCCUAUCUCUUGCCUUGAGUCUCUCCCUCUCACAUGUGACCAUAGUAUCGGAUUGCAAGGAUGUGGUAGAUGACUUGAAGGAAGGCACGAGAGGCAAAUAUGCAAGCAUUAUCAAGGAGAUUAUAGUAACAUCAAGGCAAUUUGAGAGAUGCUCCUUCAUCUUCGAAGGACGUGGCACCAAUAUUGAGGCACAUAGUAUCGCUAAGCACGCUCUAGGAUUUUCAGUUGGACGUCAUAUGUGGCUCCUUAAUACCCUGAACAUAAAUUUAUCCCCAUGAACCUUGUUUAUGAUCAUUAAUAAAGAGUGUGGCUAGACUAAAACAUACUCCCUCUAUCCUAAAAUAUAAGAACGUUUUUAACACUACACUAGUGUCAAAAACGUUCUUAUAUUAUGGAACGGAGGGAGUACUAAAUAAAGAGUGUGGAUAUGUCAGCUACACUACCCUGACGACAUCCAAGCAUGAUUAGAGCAGUAAUUAUGGUGACGCUGAAGUCUCACUCUUGCAGAGCAACACACUGAUAGCUUGGCAUAAACGUGUUGUUUGCAGGGAGGCAUCAUCUGUUGCAAAUAAACGAAGACAACAUCAAUCUGACUGUCUCUGCACCGUCCUCUGCUUCUUCGUUUCUGAUCAAGAUCGGUGUCAAUCAUAUUAUUUGUGGUAUCUAUCUUACUAAUGGCUAUGUACCUGUGUGAAAAGGAGUGCUACAAAAUGCACACUUUUUUCUCCUUUCAAACAUCAAGGAGCACGGGUGCCCACGACACGAGAAAAGCAACCACAACACCAAAGGCGAAGAAACACCGAGAUUUGUUUUGUUUUACGUGGUUCAUCACACAUGCAGGGAACUGAUAUUAACAGUUGACGGCGCACAUUUCACGCAAAAUGGUGUUAGAAUCAGGCGUAGUAGUAUUGUUUAUAAAGAGGUUGUAUCUGGAUCGACUGACAAAAGAUGCAUUCAUUGGGUGCCCUGUUGAUCCGAUUAUAUUACUGUAAAGACGAGUUGGAAACUAGUAAAUCAGAAAAGAUGGAAAGGGAUUGUUUUUCUGCAUCAUGUGCAUUGCCGGUUAAUUCGGUAUUUAUUUCGCCGUGGCGUCGUUUUCAGUGUGAUUUGUUUCAGUUUUGGUGGUGUUGCUCAUGGAUUGGAUGAGGCCAAGAAGGAUCGAGGGAACGAACAUGUCAGCUACCUGCCUACAUUAACUUGAUUCAACUCAUCAUCCAACCCUCCAAGGCCCCAUGGUGAUCAAUCUUUGUUUCAUCCGACACGGUAAUCAGAUGUGAUGAUGCUGAUGCAUGCCUGAAUUCACUGCUCAAAAUUCACUCGAUAGAACCGUCAUCUGCAGUCAGCUGACCUCGCACCGCAAGGCCAAAGGGAGCUGAUCACAAGGAUUUUCUUCAGCUUCUGAAAGGGAAAGUUCUGUCGACACUGACAGUUUAUCUCAAAGAAGGAAGUGGAAGAGCAUGAGUUGAUCAGAGUGAGUGAGACGCAUCUGAAGUGACCAAAGCUCAAGUAUGUCACCAUGCCUACCUGUCCUGACACGAGAAGCCCAGGCCAAAAGAGGCUGGAGAUGUGUCCGGGCAGGCCAUACAUCAGUAGACAGGUCUGAAGCCAAGCAUGAUCCUUCCUGGGCGUCCAUGGCGAAUGCGUCCUAUCCUUGAAGAUGGCAUACAGAAAUUUAAUCUGAAGAAACCCAACGAUCACUCAAUUAAGACAGAUACCGUCUCGGACACUGUAUGCAGUAGUAGAGAAGUUCACGUCGAGCGACCCGAGUGCAGGUCUCUGUCCCGUGCUUCCAUCAGUCCAUGAUGUUCGACCAGGGUUCGUUUCACAGCUCUUUUCAGGGAUCUUCGCAGAUGCAAGACCGAAAGCGAUCAAAUUUAAGACUAUCUCGAUCGAUCGGGUUACUAGAGUCUCUGCUGUUGCAGAUCAAGGGAAUUCGUGCAGAGGAAGCUUGUUUGGCUUGUUUUAUUUACCUUGUCGGCUGUCGAGCAAACGUAAAAAAAUGGCAAGCAUAUCAGCACCUAGUUCUCCUCCUCCACAAGUUAACCUGAAAGUCAAAAUAUGGCCGGUCACUCGACGGUGAAGUCACAACUUGGAAAAAGGCAGGAGAGAGCGCUGUACGUAGGGGGCUGAUGAUUUACUCCCCCAUUAUCUCGAUGUUACUGCGUGCCACUCUAGUGAAACAUUAGUGUAUCCUCUGUUAGACAUAGUUUUACCAAGUAAAACGGUUCACAAUACAAAUUUUGGAAAAGCGCUCUCUGUUUACCACAUCUCAAGCACAGCUAAGCUAUAUCAGCUUUGGCUAUGCUGGUGUGAUCAGUUGGAUGGGCUGCCAACGCGAAGCACCAAACCAGGUGCCGGCAUCCUCCCACGCAAGAAAAAAAAUUAAUUGACGCGGUCCAUUAUUUACACAGUGACUGCAAUUUCCAAUUAUUAGAUGAUGAUGAUGCGUUGGGUCUUCCCAGUUAGACUACUCGGCACGUGUUACACGCGUGAUGUGAUCCCUGACAUCAUGUGAAAAGCAUAAAAUGGAUAUUAGCCAUAUACAAAGCAGUCAUUUUUAUGUCUGGCUGAAUUAACUAUCAACUUGGCAAAACUGAGGGUGGUCUUGAAUGGGAGACCUCAUGUAGUGGAAAGUAUCAUAAAUUAGUGGUGUUUGUUAGAUAUACGUCGGGACUAUCACAUGGCUGAACACCCCUCCCCCCUCCCAUGAGCGACGAGGGGCAAACCCUAGUCGCUAGCCGGUAUCGCCCCCCCCCCUCCCCCUCCGAUUCCCUCGCCGACUGCAUCGCGCGUCUCACGCCACCAUCGUCAUGUUGGUAGUNNNNNNNNNNNNNNNNNNNNNNNNNNNNNNNNNNNNNNNNNNNNNNNNNNNNNNNNNNNNNNNNNNNNNNNNNNNNNNNNNNNNNNNNNNNNNNNNNNNNNNNNNNNNNNNNNNNNNNNNNNNNNNNNNNNNNNNNNNNNNNNNNNNNNNNNNNNNNNNNNNNNNNNNNNNNNNNNNNNNNNNNNNNNNNNNNNNNNNNNNNNNNNNNNNNNNNNNNNNNNNNNNNNNNNNNNNNNNNNNNNNNNNNNNNNNNNNNNNNNNNNNNNNNNNNNNNNNNNNNNNNNNNNNNNNNNNNNNNNNNNNNNNNNNNNNNNNNNNNNNNNNNNNNNNNNNNNNNNNNNNNNNNNNNNNNNNNNNNNNNNNNNNNNNNNNNNNNNNNNNNNNNNNNNNNNNNNNNNNNNNNNNNNNNNNNNNNNNNNNNNNNNNNNNNNNNNNNNNNNNNNNNNNNNNNNNNNNNNNNNNNNNNNNNNNNNNNNNNNNNNNNNNNNNNNNNNNNNNNNNNNNNNNNNNNNNNNNNNNNNNNNNNNNNNNNNCAAGAGGGAUAUGCCUGGGGCUUGCUUGUCAGCAGCUGUCUGCAGUCACUAAGUUGUCUCCCUAGUCCACCGGGACUCGAUGGGGACGCAGGCGUGGACGCUUCAUCGCUAGACCGUCGUGACUUGGUGGCUGAUGUCAGGCUAGGAGUGGAAGGAGGCGCCCUCCGCUACCCCCCCCCCCCUGCUUGUUUAGCAUGAUGUGAUGUAGACGGUUGCCGGUGUCUUCGAGACAUGGAUGCUGGGGCGACGGACCGGGUGAUAGUGCCUAUGGUUGGCUCUGAGGGCGAACAUCAUAACUGCAGUGGUCUCUAUGUCCAUUAUUUAUGUGGGCGGCAAGGUGUGUAGCGGAGGGUGGUCGGGCUCGUUCUCUUCCGUUGACACGACGAUAUCGAGAUCUAGAUCUAGAGGAUUGUACUCAUCGCGGUCGUACUGAGUGCCUCGUGAUGGAACAUGCGAGCUACCGAGCGAAAGCUUCACGCUUUGGGCGCGACGGGUGCCCGUGGGUACCUCUAUCCUCUUGAGGAUGUCGUUGUGGUUCUCCUCUCCGAGCCAGGGUUUCGGGUGAAAACUCAUGUCUGUUUCGGACUCAGCAGCAGCGACACUUAGGGUCGUUUCCCCUUCCUGAGGGAUUUAUUGGGGAGCUUAGGUGUUCUAGGGCGUGACUAGGUGUUGUCUUCAAGCCUUCAUGUUCUCUAUCUCUCAACAACGUAGCCAUUUUGUUUUUCACCUUUGGCAUUUUUUGAUGGGAUAUAUGUUGUCUGGUUAUGAACCAUGAAUGAUUUUACAAAAUGCUAUUCGGUUUCACCGAUCUGAUGUUGACCAUGUUUUAAUUUGCUCAGUUUUGUAGCACAACUGUUGAAUUAGGGGGACCCACCUACUCCCACGACCUAAGUGGCGACCAAUCUUGCCUCCUCUCUGAUGUUGGGUUGUUGGGUUGCAGGCCUCCUUUGCCUUUGUCUAUCGCUCUGAUGACCGGAAUUGGCGGGUACCCUUGGUCUCCGCUCCGAUAGAGGUACAGUCGAAUAAAGUUAGAUUUUCUUCGAUCGACGAUGGCGAGAUGAUGGCGGUGUCGUCAGUAUGAAAUAAGGUCUUCCCGUCUUGUUCUCGUUUUGGUGGUGUGGGUGUAUACAGACACGAGGCCCGUGGAGGAUGCGGUGCUCGGCGAUGGUGGCACUUCAUCAUUAAGACGGAGUUCUCAUACCGUCCUUGCCUCCGCGUCACUCCUAGCUUGGCCUUGUUAGACGUCCCCAAUCUUCGCUGCCACUCGACAUGUCGUCCUGUCUCCGCCUUAGAGUAACUCCAAUAGCUCCCAUAUCCAUAAGAAAACUAUUGUUUACAGGAAGUUCGGGUGAAAAUAGCCCUCCAAAAGCCCCGUAAACCCAGAUUUUUUUAUGGGAUCUCAUAUAAUUGCCCCCAACUCCCCACCCUCACGCCGUUGUCGCCGAGUCACGUCACCACCAGUACCGCCGACCACCGCCGCCGCGUCACCACCAGCACCGCAUGAAGUUUCACACCGCGACGCCAGGAAAGGAGCUCCCUCAUGUGCCCCGCCCCGGCCACACCGCUCGCCGCCCAUCGGCGAGCCUCCCCACCGUUGCGCUUCCUCUUCCUCCUUCGGCCACCGCCAUGCCAUCACUAGCACCGCCAACCACAGCCGCUUUGGCGAGUUCCGGCAACGUGCCAUUCAUAUAGACGUGUUUUAGAAUGUAGAUUCAUUUAUUUUGCUCCGUAUCUAAUCCACAUUAGAAUCUGUAAGAAACUUACAUUAAGAAACGGAGGGAGUACUAGACAACUUGUCAUAAAUUAUAUGAUCAUCCCAUAAAUGACCUUUAGGGAAGGUCUUUGGAAAAGCUAUUGGAGCUGGUCUGCUUCGCUUAAAAUCAUCUCUUCCCCCUCUCCGGCAAUUGACCAACAGCAUGUCAGUGCACUUUAUAAGUCGGCCACGCGCGCGUGUAUUUACGUCAAGGUCGAUCGGCGCUGUCUCUGGUCGGCCGACGGACGAGCCACUGCGGCAUAUGUAGCGCUCUUCCUAUACCGCCAUGUGGCGACGGGCCACCACAAAUGGAAAUGGUGGUGCACAACUGAUCUCUCCCUCUCCGUCGACAGUUUUUACGGUCAUGCGACGGUGCUGCCCAGAUAUGUCUGGUGCAUGGGAUGGAUCUACCCCAAGGCGAAAAUCUUUUUUUUUUUGGCAUGGUCCCGGGGCGAAAAUGUGGAGUAGAACAAUUGCUUCUUUCUUCCCUUCCCAUAUGUGGGCCCCGUGAAACUUCUAUGUGCAGCUACGCGUCAAACGGGAGACGCGACGAGGCCUUCGAUGAGACCAACGGAACCUCGAGCCACAUUACUGAUUACUAUAUAUGUAUCACAUCCUAUAAUGCAACACACCAGUCACGUCAUGGUCAUGGACACAUGGAGAGCGAGCGACAAUGGCCACGUAACUUGGAGAAAAGUCCACAUUUCAACCCUCAACUAACCACGACGUUUGAUUGUCAACCCUCAACUCUAAAACCGGUCGGAUUUCAACCCUGAACUUGUCACACUGUCCAUUUUACCCCCCUUGACUCGGUUUGAGGCUAGUCAAGUGGUUUUGACCCGGUCAAAGCUGACUGGGCAGCCCAAUCAGCAUGCCAUGUGUAAAUCUAAAAAAUGGAUGAUUUUCUCAAUCUAUAAAUCCAUUAAAGUUGAAAAUUUCCCAGGUAUCUAAACAUCAUAUGAGUGUUGUUGUGUAAAAAUUUCAGAAUUUUCUGGGCACUUUUUUUUCGGUUCAAAAUUUUGACCGAAUAGUGGCUGAAUUUGAAAAAUUGAUGGUUCUCUCAAUCUAUAAAUCCAUUUAAGUUGAAAAUUUCCCAGCUAUCUAAACAUCAUAUGAGUGUUGUUGUGUAAAAAUUUCAGAAUUUUCUGGGCACUUUUUUUCGGUUCAAAAUUUUGACUGAAUAGUGGCUGAAUUUGAAAAUUUGAUGGUUCUCUCAAUCUAUAAAUCCAUUUAAGUUGAAAAUUUCCCAGCUAUCUGAACAUUAUAUGAGUGGUGUUGUGUAAAACUUUCAGAAUUUUCUGGGCACUUUUUUUUCGGUUCAAAAUUUGGGCAGCAUUUGGGCAGCAUUUUGGUACCAUUUGGUAGCAUUUGGUCAUCAUACGGAAAAGAUGAUUGCAAACACACAUAGAUGUCUCAAAUAGAAAACAUAGAUGUCUCACACACAAUACAUAGAUGAGGUCUCACACACAACACAUAGAUGUCUCACACAAUACAUAAUGCAUUUCUGGCAAGCAGCGAUGUUGCUAGCUGAUUCAUGAUUGAAAUCCAAGCAGCCUUCGAAACCCCGUAUACUUGUUUGUGUGCUUGACAACUCUGCUGCUAGCUCUAGCGCUAGAAUUGCCGGUAGAUACAUUAACAUUGACAUUGGAGCUUCUUUGCACAUUAAUUGUAUUUCCGGAGAAAUUGUUGGACCUGCUGCUGCUUCCAGUUGGCGCCCUUCUCUUUGGGUUAGGUGCAGCCACUUCCUCAGUGGCCUUCCUUUUGCUCUGCCUAGUGCUGCUCUGGCGUGAAGGCUACAAGAAACAUGGCAAAUGUUAGUUAUAUAUACAUGAUAGUGUAAUCAGGUUUGCUCAUGCAUAUUUCCUGGAUAGUGUACCAUAUCUGGCCCUUGACUAGCACAUGGUGCUUCACUACUUGUUGCAGUUUGGCUUGCAGCAGACUGUUUGGAAGCAGCUGAUGGUGCUUUACUUCUAGCAGGACCUUGGCCUUGCUCAGGAGUUGGUGUAUUUGAACUCCCUGUGCCAUUUCUUGCUUUGCAUGAUGUCCUGUUGUGCCCAUGUAGCUUGCACAUGCUGCAUCUUAUCUUUGUACCUCUCUUAGAAACCCUAGUGGCACACCUUGGCUUCUCUUGUUGCUCUCUGGUCCUUUGCUUUUUCUUCCUACCGGGCAUCAUAAUCUCCCCUGGUGGAUUAGGUCUUGGCCUCUCAGACACAGGCCAUGCAGGUCUGCCUUCCACAGGUUGAAGGCAAAAAGCAUAAGUUUUCUUGAAUGCUUCUAUGCUAUAGCACUUGUCAAUGUAAUCAUCUAUGUUGUUGGUUUUGAAAAAAAUGCAUGAUAUAGCAUGAGGGCAUGGAGAUGAGAAAUCCAGAGGAUCCAUUCAAUCUACAAGAGAUGAGAAAACAGAAUAAGAAAUCAUUACUACGGUUUCAGCAACAGAGAAAGGGGGAAAAUCACUAUUAACAAGGGGUGCAAGGGCAGGACCAGCAGCAGCAGCUAGCCCAAGCUAGCAGCUUGCCGGCGGUGGCAGCACCAACAACUCGCCCAAGCUAGCAGCAGCAGCUCGCCGGCGGCUAGGGUUAGCAGCAGCAACUAAAAUCUAAGGGAAACAGAGGGAGGAAGGGAGGGAAGAGAGGGCAAACCUGCGGUGGAGGUGGGGGUGGUGGCCACGGCCGGCGGCGUUCCAGGCCGCGGUGGAGGUGGUGGCCGCGGCCGGCAGCGUUCCAGGCCGCGGUGGAGGUGGUGGCCGCGGGCGGCGGCGUCCCAGGCCGCGGUGGAGGUGGUGGCCGCGGGCGGCGACAUCCCAGGCAGCGGUGGAGGUGCUGGCCCCGGGCGGCGGCGUCCUAGGCGGCGGUGGCGGCGUGCCCGGUUACCGGUCGCCGGCGAGGAGGUCAUGACUGCGGGCGGCGGCGACCAACGCGGCGGCAUGUCGAUUUGGAUCGGGGUGAGACUGAACAAACGAGAGAGAGAUGGGGAUAAGGUUGGACCUGUGUGCGUGGCAUGCUGACUGGGCUGCCCAGUAAGCUUUGACCGGGUCAAAACCACUUCACUAGCCUCAAACCGAGUCAAGGGGGGUAAAGUGGACAGUGUGACAAGUUCAGGGUUGAAAUCCGACCGAUUUUAGAGUUGAGGGUUGACAACAAACGCCGUGGUUAGUUGAGGGUUGAAAUAUGGACUUUUCUCCGUAACUUGCCGUUGCGGAUGUGCACGUACGAUCUGAGGUGCACUGCACUGCACAUUGUAGGCACCUCUUGGGCCUUCCUACGGGAUCCCUAGCUUAAGAGCAUCUCCAACGGCCGCACAAAAAUUUCGCGCCCAAUAAAUAGUAUAGCGCGUCACUGUAGCACUUUUAAAGCGUCGGGACCAACUUUGCUUUAGCAGGUGCCUAAAAACGCGCGCCCAAAAAGUAGACAGUGCAAAUUGUGAAGCGCGCGUAAUCCGGCGCCCCAAAUAUGCUGCGCGCGAUAGCGUUUUUCAGCGCGCGCGCAAAAACAUUUAGCGCUACAGCUUCUGCUGGAGCUGUCCGGCGCCAAAAAACAAACUUUUAGCAUGCGAAGCUCUUUUUAAGCGCCUGUUGAAGAUGCUCUAAGGUAGCUAUCCUUCUCGAGAAGGAAAGCCCCUAACACCAGCAUGCAAAACAUCAGAUAAUUAAACCUGUAUGUCGUCGAAUGCUUGAGACUCCUGGACUCCUGGUCACUCGCUGUACUCUGUAGCGUAGCUCUAAUGCGCAGGCCACGCGCCGACGCCCGUACGUUGUUGACGUCGAGUCGACAGCCGACACCGCCGCGCGCCGCCGGCCUCUGCCGUCGUGGCUCAUCUCCCACGCGCCGCCUAGAUCGUUGCCGACGUAAACGCAUACGCGCGGUAUACGUACGUACGUCUCUGCUCUUCUGCUCGCUUUACGUCGACAAUUUUUACAGUUACGUGACGGUAGUAGCUACCCUGUUCGUUCGGCACGGAAUCUUGACCGUUGAUCCAGGCCGGCCGGCCGACCACGGACCAGGUGCCGAUUUUAUAACGUGACGGGACUCCCUAGCUAAGCUAGCCACCAAGAGAGCCGCCGGCUCGUUGCGGUGGAGCGCAGCGUUUGGAAAUCCAACUUCCCCUUCUCUGGGAGGUGGGGCCCACGGCCGCUACGCCUACCGCCUACACGUCAAAUGGCAGACGCUCCAGCUCGGCCGCCGGCGUCAGCGUGUCUCUAACACGAAGCUCGAUUCGAAGACAACAAUGGCCUGAUUACACUCAACACAAAGCUAUUCAAACACAGCAGUCGCUCUCGUGGAUCGAUCGACGUGUUUGUCCACGUACGUAGAGAGUGAUGAGGUGCCGAUCGGCGUGUUCCAGGCGUGAGCUCUGCUAGCUCUGCCGUAUAUUACUACGCGCGCGCGCGCCGGCCGAGCAGCGGCAGCACCAAUUAAGUUCGCGCCAAAUUAGGCAAGCUAGCGAGCACUGCACGUACGCGUGGGCGCGCUCUGUCUGCUGCCAAAAGGCGUGCAAACCAAAGCUUGAUUAGUAGCGCGCGGAGGCCGGCGAUGAGGCCACGGCCGCCGGCUAUCGUGAUCAGCCUCCUCCUCCUCCUACUACUCGCGGUGCCGAGGCAUGGCGCCGCGGCCGGAUGGGGCGACGGCGGCAUGGUGCGGACGGACGGCACGCGCUUCGUGGCGGGGGACGGCGACCGGACGGUCUACCUCAGCGGGUUCAACGCGUACUGGCUCAUGGAGAUGGCGUCCGACCCGUCGCGGAGGGGCGGGGUGGUGUCGGCGUUCCGGCAGGCGGCGGCGCACGGCCUCAACCUCGCGCGCACCUGGGCCUUCAGCGACGGCGGGCGGUCCCCGCUGCAGUCCUCGCCGGGCGUCUACCACGAGGACAUGUUCCAGGUAAGGCCGGUGACCUCCGUCGACCAGCCUUGCUCGAUGCCGACGUUACGUGCCGACAAAGAAAGCUAGCUUAGCUUGCUCAGUGCAGAAUGACAGCUUGUGUGGUUUGGUUUUGGCAUGCAGGGUCUGGACUUCGUCAUCGCCGAGGCGAGGCGGCACGGGAUAUACCUCCUCCUCUGCCUCACCAACAACUUCGACGACUUCGGCGGCAAGCGGCAGUACGUACAGUGGGCGAGGGAGGACGUCGCCGCCGGCGCCGCCGCCCACAACCUCACCUCCGCCGACGACUUCUUCAACAACACCCUCAUCAAGUCCUACUACAAGAACCACGUCAAGGUAAUCAUCAAUUCAUUCAUCGCCACACGUGCCAUAUACAUACGUGUCAAUGACUACGUUGUCACGUUCAUGAUCUAAACCCAAAUGAUAUGAUGUCUCUCUUCCUCUACGUGUGAUGCAGACGGUGCUGACGAGGGUGAACACGGUGACCGGCGUGGCGUACAGGGACGACCCGGCCAUCUUCGGGUGGGAGCUGAUGAACGAGCCCCGGUGCGGCGCCGAGCCCACGGGCGCCCUGGUGCAGGCGUGGGUGGAGGAGAUGGCGCCGUACCUGAAGACCAUCGACGCAGCCCACCUGGUCACGGCGGGGCUGGAGGGCUUCUACGGCGACGGCGCGCACGAGAGCAAGGACCUCAACCCGUGGGGCAUCUACUACGGCACCAACUUCGUGGCCACGCACCAGGCCGCCGGGAUCGACUUCGCCACCAUCCACCUCUACCCGGACGUCUGGCUCUGGGGCUCCACCGCCGACCAGCAGGCGCGCUUCUUCCGCAACUGGACGGCGUCCCACGUCCGCGACACCGAGCGCCACCUCCGCAAGCCGCUCCUCGUCACCGAGUACGGUAAGUUCCUCUGGGAGGAGGGCGGCGAGAACGCCACGUCCGCCACGCAGAGGAGGGAUGGGUUUCUCGGCAUGGUGCUCGACGCCAUCUACGAGUCGGCGUCGCGGGGCGGGCCGCUCGUCGGCGGCGCCUUCUGGCAGCUGCUACUCGACGGCGACGGCAUGGACGCGCUCAAGGACGGGUACCAGAUUGUGCUCCCCGAGGACGCCCGCGCCGCCAGCAUCAUCAGCGAUCACUCCGAGAAGAUGGCCGAGCUCAGCAAGCAGGACGCCGCGGAGGCCGGUCGCCGGUGGAGUAGGAAGAUCGGCAGUUUUGUCAGCUGGGAUGGUACUCAUCCUUACGUCCAAAAAUUCUUGAUUCGUUUCGUCUCUCUGUUCAGAUCAGUUUCUUCACUGUUUGGUCCCAUUGUAGCUACCUAGGCUGGACUGUAGUAGAGAAAUGUUCAGAUACCUCCCACUGAGUGUAGCAAUUUUGACUUGUUCGACGGUGCUGUCUGAGAAGUUUUAAUUAGCUGACUCGAGAGUUGUAAAUGGAAAGUAGAACUCGGCGUGAGUGAUCCGAGUACACAAUUUCCUUGCACAAGGAUCGAACAUCCUAUACAUAGGCCAUACUGUUUGGCUCAAACCCGAGCAGGGCCAUCUCUGAAUUUCAAUCGGCUAGUUUUGUGAGGUGACCACCAACUUUCUUCACUUGUCCGACGCAACCAAAUGUGUGCAAGUGCUCAACACUUGGUUUCACCUUGUACAUCGCCUCAUAGGGUGCGAUACCACGAACACCCUUAAUUCGUCGGUGCACGAUUCAGGAGGUAAACUGCAGUGAACACUGCUUCACCCAAAACAGUCGAGGCAGCCCCUUGCUCUUCACUAGACCACCUGCCAUGCCAACCACAGUCUGAUUUAAGUAGAGCAUGAAAGGUUAUGUGUCCAAACGAGCAUGCCAUAACCACACUGGUUCAGACUGUUCAAUGUUCAGUAUGUACAGUGUGUUCGAUGCCCUUCUUACUUUCGCCACCACCUUGUGCUCUUUUACUCUUUGUCCAAUAUCGUUAUCAGCCCUUCGUCCACUGAGUACUUGCAGAUAAAUUCAUCUAGUUGCCCCAAACUGAUGAUAUUGCUACUCAACUUCGGAAUGAAGUAAACAUCUGUCGGAAGCCGGUGGUCUCCAUUGUGCGCGACAAAGAGUACUGAGCCACGCCCCUCAAUGCCCACCACUGAACCAUCACCAGAGGGAGCUGAACCAGUGAUUCUUCAGUCCAACUCGACAAACUUCUCAACAUCCCUGGUCAUAUGGUUGCUCACAGCUCUGUCCAAGUACCAAGACUUGUUUGCUAAACUUGACAGCUUGGGCACGACCUUCUCUUCGUGAACAACUUUUCUGAAAAAAGUGAAUAAUGAUUCAAAAUUGUGAAAAAUUUGAAUUCAAACAAACUUUUUAAAUGUGAAUAUUUUUUUGAAAAACAUGAACAAACUGUUCAAUUUCCGAAUAUAUGGUGAAUUUUUUUAUAUACAAAUGAACAAUUUUGUGAUAUACGCUGAACAAUAUUUAAAUACACAUUGAACAUUUUUGUGAUAUACGCUGAACAAUAUUUAAAUACACAUUUAACAUUUUUGUGAUGUACGGUGAAAUAUAUUUAAAUACACAUUGAACAUUUUUGUGAUAUACCUGAACAGUUUAAAAAUAUGAAAUAGUUUUUUUAAACAUGGUGAACAUUUUCUUAAAUUUACAAUGAACAUAUUUGUAUAUAAACAUGCAAUGAGCUUAUGGAGCUAGUCAGCAGUGGGUACCUCACAGAACUGGAAUGAAAAGCCACCAGCACUGUCGGUCGUUAGCCGCAUCUGAGUUGUGAUGGUGUUGUUGUCUUUUGAGUGGCGGGCGUGCUAGGAUGAUGCACUUAUGGAACACUUUGCAUCGCCAAAGAUGAAAUCCAUCGUGCUUUCGAUCCGACGCUCAUGGUAGAGCUGCAUGCGACGUUAGGCGUACAACGUAUCCUGGUAGCCUAAGAUGGCGCAUCGGUAGAUGCCAUGCAUGUCGGAUUCGCACAAGAGUGUCAUCCAUCACCUGAGUUCUUGGUUGAUGAACUCUUGACCUAGGAUGGUUUUCAUUGAUUGAGCGAGCACACACGUCAAGUUAUUUGAUCAAAGACUACACAAAAAACUAUUUGAAUAAAGUUUUGACAAUAUAGGACAUGAUGAAUGUCAAUGUAUGGAGCAUGACUGAGAUGUCAGGCAGUACACACAAUAUGAAUGUGUUUUGNNNNNNNNNNNNNNNNNNNNNNNNNNNNNNNNNNNNNNNNNNNNNNNNNNNNNNNNNNNNNNNNNNNNNNNNNNNNNNNNNNNNNNNNNNNNNNNNNNNNNNNNNNNNNNNNNNNNNNNNNNNNNNNNNNNNNNNNNNNNNNNNNNNNNNNNNNNNNNNNNNNNNNNNNNNNNNNNNNNNNNNNNNNNNNNNNNNNNNNNNNNNNNNNNNNNNNNNNNNNNNNNNNNNNNNNNNNNNNNNNNNNNNNNNNNNNNNNNNNNNNNNNNNNNNNNNNNNNNNNNNNNNNNNNNNNNNNNNNNNNNNNNNNNNNNNNNNNNNNNNNNNNNNNNNNNNNNNNNNNNNNNNNNNNNNNNNNNNNNNNNNNNNNNNNNNNNNNNNNNNNNNNNNNNNNNNNNNNNNNNNNNNNNNNNNNNNNNNNNNNNNNNNNNNNNNNNNNNNNNNNNNNNNNNNNNNNNNNNNNNNNNNNNNNNNNNNNNNNNNNNNNNNNNNNNNNNNNNNNNNNNNNNNNNNNNNNNNNNNNNNNNNNNNNNNNNNNNNNNNNNNNNNNNNNNUCAAAGACUACACAAAAAACUAUUUGAAUAAAGUUUUGACAAUAUAGGACAUGAUGAAUGUCAAUGCAUGGAGCUUGACUGAGAUGUCAGGGCAGUACACACAAUAUGAAUGUGUUUUGGGAGGGGGGAGGGGGCUGAGUUGUGAUGGUGUUGUUGUCCUUUGAGUGGCGGGCGUGCUAGGAUGAUGCACUUAUGGAACACUUCGCAUCGCCGAAGAUGAAAUCCAUCGUGCUUUCAAUCCGACGCUCAUGGUAGAGCUGCGUGCGACGUUAGGCGUACAGCGUAUCCUGGUAGCCUAGGAUGGUGCAUCGGUAGACGACAUGCAUGUCGGAUUCGCACAAGAGUGUCAUCCAUCACCUGAGUUCUUGGUCGAUGAACUCUUGACCUAGGAUGGUUUUCAUUGAUUGAGAGAGCACACACGUCAAGUUAUUUGAUCAAAGACUACAGAAAAAACUAUUUGAAUAAAGUUUUGACAAUAUAGGACAUGAUGAAUGUCAAUGUAUGGAGCUUGACUGAGAUNNNNNNNNNNCUGCUUUGAUUGGAUAAAGAAAUUACUAACAUAGUCUUUGACCAAUGUUUAGCUGAUGCUGGUAGAGAAAAUAGGCUCAAUUCCGAAUUUUCUCACAACAUAUCUAUGUAGUAGGGGUGAUUUUAUGUAGACGUUGUGGGCUCAAUUUACCAAACAACUUUUCACAAACUGCCUGUAGUUUUAUGUAUAUUUGAGCAAAUUUUUGUUUAUUAAAAGAUUGUCUGUAGAGUGACUCCAAUAUAAAGAGGUUGUUACUCGAGCGACCAGCAAAAUAUAUUUGUUGGGCACCCUGUUAAUCAUAUUAUAAGUUAAAACACACGAGUUGGGAAGGGAUUGUUUCUUUUGCAUCACGUGCACUGCUGGUUAUAUACAUAAUUUAUUUCCUUCAUGGAGUCCUUUUUAGCAUGAUUUGUUGCAGUUUCUUGUGUUGUUGCUACUGAAUUGGAUGAGGCCAAGGAGGGAAUGGGUGUCGGCUAACUACCUACAUUAACUUGUGUAAAUAUCAUAAAACUACCACUUUCCAAGAUAAGGUUUGAAAAUACUACCAGAAAAUUGGGGCCUGCACAUAAGAUAACCAUUUGUUUGACAUAUGGGGGCCACAUGUCGGUUUCUCUUCAUUUUCAUUUCCUUUUCUUUUAGCUAUUUUGCAUACUUUUUUCUCUCAGUUUUUCUUUUUUAUUCUUUUUCUUCUAGUUUGCAUUGAUUUUUUUGUGAUAUGUGCUGACAAAUAUUUAAAUACAGAUUGAAAAUUUUGGUGAUAUACGCUGAAAAUUGUAAAAUACGCAAUGAACUUUUUUAAAAUAUGUUGAACAUUUUCUUAAUAUAGGAUGAACGUUUCUUCAAAUAUACAACAUACAUUUCCUUAUAUAAACACACCAUGAACUUUGUAUAUUACAUGAAAAAAUAAAAAAAGGAAAAUGUAGAAGAAAAGAAAAGAAAUAGAAACAGACACAGGAAAAGGCAAGAAGAAAAAUAAAAGGAACAAGCAGAGGAGAAACAACAGAGCAACUCUGGGCUGGCUCGAACUGGGGCGUCAGGAGGCCGAGUUUCAAAUAGGAUCUAUGAAAUGUCUAAAAAAAAAGGGACCUACGAUCUUUUGAGGGCACAAUUGUGUCUCGUCGGCAACUAUCCGUGUCACGUCAAGGAGUCCUAAAUGGAACGGUCCAUAAGCACGCAGGUAGUUGUAAUAUUUUCUUUUUUUCCAAUUAUCAAAGAAAAUGUAAAUACAUAAAUUUCAGGAAACAUAAUAUACUUAAUAUGUUUUUAAAUUUUCAUCGAGAAUUAUAAAAUUUUAAACAUAGGAAAAUUCUUUGUUUAUUUUAAUUUUUGAAAACAUUGAUAGCACUAACAAUGUUUGUAUCAAUUAAAAAUGUUCACGUGUUUCACAAAAAAUUGAGUACAUCCACUUUGAAAAUAUAGAAUUAUCAUGUAAAAAAAGUUCAUGUAAAUAAAAAUUAGUUGUGCACCAUUAAAAAAAUAUACAUUACAUUUAAGAAAACUGUUCGUGAGUUUCAAAAUUGUGUUUCUGACAUUUUAAUAAAAUGUAAAAGAAAACAUUUGCAUUUAAAAAAAACAAUCUUUUGUAUCAUUCAAAAAAUCAACACGUAUUUCAAAAUUGUCUAACACAUAUUCGGAAAAAUAUUCAAAAACAUGUACUUGAAAAUGUUCGAACACACACCAAAAAAAAAAAACUCGCGCCACAACUAAGUUGGGUGCACCAUCGUCGCCAAGGGCAGGUAAACAUUGUGAAACAUGCUUUUGUUCUAUGUUGAAAGUACUUGAGAUCUGACUUGCAAACUCCAUCUAUUAUAUAUACUUANNNNNNNNNNNNNNNNNNNNNNNNNNNNNNNNNNNNNNNNNNNNNNNNNNNNNNNNNNNNNNNNNNNNNNNNNNNNNNNNNNNNNNNNNNNNNNNNNNNNNNNNNNNNNNNNNNNNNNNNNNNNNNNNNNNNNNNNNNNNNNNNNNNNNNNNNNNNNNNNNNNNNNNNNNNNNNNNNNNNNNNNNNNNNNNNNNNNNNNNNNNNNNNNNNNNNNNNNNNNNNNNNNNNNNNNNNNNNNNNNNNNNNNNNNNNNNNNNNNNNNNNNNNNNNNNNNNNNNNNNNNNNNNNNNNNNNNNNNNNNNNNNNNNNNNNNNNNNNNNNNNNNNNNNNNNNNNNNNNNNNNNNNNNNNNNNNNNNNNNNNNCAAGGUGGGUGCAGCUAACCGAUAAGAGUAUAUGCGAUUCAUGUAGAUUUGAGCUUUUUUCAUGGUUGUCUACCAAAACCAAGGUGAUUCUAUAUCAGGAUGAGGAUGAGGCUGUAACUUGAGCAAAGAUGCCAUAUUCAGACAAAGUUGGCUCGUCAUUAGAUGUGAAGGUUGACCCAACAAAACUCCUACAGACACUUCUUCUUGUUUUUUUUAUAUAUUUAGAAAUGGAGGAGGACCCGCGGCCUCUGCAUCUGGAUGAUGCAUUCAGCCAUUUUAUUAAUUAUUCACACAAGACCUUACAAAGUCAUACACCAGUAAUACUAAAGCCACCAUCCAGGCAACAUAUGUCGCUACUGCUAUCCAGUUGAUGAAGGGAUGCUGAUAGACUGAGCCUAAUACCAGACAGACCUCGCAGCCAAACCUAACAUCUAAGACCCGAGGUCCCAACCAGGACACCUGCCGGGUAUGGGGUACCAACCAGUCCGGCGCACUCCUCAACCAGGACACCUGCCAGGUAUGAGGCCGCCGCAGCCACCUGCCACCAAUCCAUUUUCAGUGUUGUACUGCUGCAUCUACCUUGCCUAGUCUAGCUGCCGUCGACGCCACCACGGCGCCAGCGAACGCCACCAUCCUGUACGUAUCCAUCCACACACGCUCGUCGCCGAAGCUCCGCAGCACCAUGCCGCCGGGAUCCGUCGUCGGCCUUGCGGUAGAUGAAACACCGCUCCUCCUCGUCCCCUCCAGCCAGCUCCUGCUCCAAAACGAUGCCCUGAGGAGGGAGCAUGACACUGAAGGCGCCGUCAUCGUCUGAUCCGGUAUACCCAGAUCUAGGGUUUCCCCCAGAACAUCCAGAUCAUGUUGACGCAGUUUGCAACGACGAUGCCUCAACAGGGGGCGUCGGAGACGCCACCGGAUCGUCCCCGGCGACCUCGUCAUUGUGCGCAUCUCAGGACUCGGACUGAAGGUUCAUAUCUAUAACCACGACUCCUCGGUCAUGUGCAGGUUUCGUUGCAGCAAGCACAACUUUCAUGGUGACAUCGAGCAUGCUAUGUAGUUAAGUUAAGUAAGGUGUUAGUGUUGAACUUUUAUGGUGUGUGGCGAGACUUGUACUGGAAACUUGUUCAUAUUUUGGCCAGGAGCAGCACCCUGGCAUGGAGCAGGGAAGGAGGAUACCCCUGUUGUUAAUCUAGACUUAUGCUAUGUAGUUAAGUUUGUUGUCAUUUCCUUACUUGCUGUGUUAAGUUUGCUGUUAUUUCCUUGCUUGCUUUGUUUGAUGUUGUUGUUGUGCUGAUCGUGUGGUGGUAAGGCCACCACGUUUGAAUAGGGUGAGCAAAACACAAACGCUGUUUGCAACCAAACAACUGAAGUUUGCAUCUGCUCACAGCCUACGCACAAAAACGCCAACCAAACAGCAGGGGGUAAGUGCCCCUUCAUGCGAUGCAGACAACCAAACAGAUUGCAUCUGCUGCAUAUGAGGCUGCAUUUCAAGAAUCAGCCUGGCUGAAGAUGAACAUGCAAUACAACUACUGUUGCAAAUUGCAACCAAACACGCCCAUACGGAUCAACGGACGUGUACAAUAUGUUCACACCAGGGACAACUGAAACGAGACUCACCGUACCAUGCCUCCACAACGCAUACAUGCACGUACGUUCGCCUGCCUGCCUAGGGCCGGGCCACGGGUGCUUAUUACACAACCAACCAGAUUGGAACUUAGUAAGUAGCUAGUACUUGGAUCUCAAAUAUCGGCGUACGCCAGCGAACAUGAGAGCAGGUCUUCGUAACAUCUUGACCUUGUGAUCCUUGAAUGGGGAGAGAACGAAUUAGGUUUUGGGAUGUGCUUCGCGCGACUGCUUGCGUUCUUCACCACGGGUCGUCUACCUGCAAGUUCAGGCGUUGUUGCGUGCCGUCAUCGUCAAUUAGGACCAGAGAAAAACAAGCUAUGUAUUAAAAGAGAAGAGUAAUUUAUAGAUCUCUUUAUGUGAAGAUGCAUGACUCUUAGAGGUGUAAGGCAGGUUGACAACCUGUCUUAAUGUGUUUCUAUUGUCUAUGUUUAGCAAAGAUGUUGUUCUACAAAGAAGUUUUGGAGAGAACACACUCAUAUGAGACCAACUGUUAAAGUUGCAGUCUAUGAGACUUCAGCAAUCUCUAGUAAGCUAACGAAGAGACGAGGGAGUACGACAUAUAUGCUCCACCAGCGGGCUAGGCUACUGACAGCCAGGUACUGGUUCUGAAUUUAGGUGAAAUCUAUUUGCACAAAACUUGCAAUUCAAAAAAUAGUCCAUUAUUCAAGUUAUGGGUGGAUGGCUGGAUGUAGCUUAAAGCUCUAGCGGAAGUUCAAUUUAUCAGUCUCUGCUGAAACACUAGUAUACUAAAAGAAAGUAGUGAGAAUAUACAUAUCACUAAUUGGACAAUUAAGAUCCGGUGGGGAUUGUUAGAAUUAAUGGGCUUGGCCAUGUACAUUUAUAGAAAUUCCUAAGUUAAUCUCAAAAACCCAUGACUAAAUGGAAAGAGUGGAAAUGUGACCUUUAGUCCCAUACCACUAUUGGAGGUGGUGUGUGAGAUCAACUUAUGUAGUGGAGUCUCCCUACUUCGGUAAAUGAUUGGUAUGAGGAGAGAAAGAAAACAUCACACAUGUGCUCCCCACGCCAUACCAGAAUGAAGGGUGUGGUCGUGUGACAUGCGCAUGAAUGAAUGGUUUGUCGAAAUCUGGCCGUGGUAUUACAGGAGCAUGGCUUUCUUUUGGUUUUUAUUUUUCUAUAUCCCAAAUAUCGGCGUACACCAGCGAACGUGAGAGCAGGUCUCCAGAACCUCUUGACCUUGUGAUCCUUGAAUGGGGAGAGAACGAAUUAGGUUUUGGGAUGCGCUUCACGCGACUGCUUGCGUUCUUCACCACGGGCCGUCUACCUGCAAGUUCAGGCUUUGUUGCGUGCCGUCAUCGUCAACAUCUGCUUCGGCCGGUCUUCAGCAGCAACGCUGUUAACAACAUCGCCUUCACAACAUCAACAAUUACUUCAUCUACAAACGAUCCCUAUGUGCGCUAUGAUCUAAUCAAGACUCUAAUUAUGGUUGUCGUUAGAUGUGUGAUGAUUUUGUUCAUGAUGUUUAGUGCAUCUAGUAUGUUGGACAAAUGCAUUUUAAUUGUUGUUUUAACCAUGAUUCAUUGCACUGCACUGCGCCAAGACAGAUCAACGGACGUGUACAAUACGUUCACACCAGGGACAACUGAAACGGCACUCACUGUACCAUGCCUCCACAACGCACAUAUGCACGUACGUUCGCCUGCCUGCCUAGGGCCGGGCCACGGGUGCUUAUUACACAACCAACCAGAUUGGAACUUAGUAAGUAGCUAAGUACUUGGAAUACACGGUGCACACACAAGAACACAUGCCAACAGCAGGAUUAUCAUGUCCUCCGUUCGCAGCCCCUUGCCCGGAUGCAAUCCCGCUCACACUUAUCGUUCUCCUCCGAUGGCGGGCCGUCACACUCACAGUUCUGGCAUGCGCAAACGAACUUACAAGUCUGACACGAUUCAUUGCACUGAAGCCAGCCCUGACGCAGCCUCUCGGCCAGCUCGUCCAGCGCCGCCGACGCAGGCUUCACGAGCCGCAGCAGGGCCGCGCCAUCCGCGACGUCGAGGGCCGGGCCGCGGCCAUGCACGGCCGUGAGCUGUGUUCCGGCGCACAGGAUCACCAGCAGGGAGAUGGCGGCCACCUUCACCGUAGAUGGAGCACAGGCCAUCGCAACAGCAGCUACUUUGUCUGGUGAAGACUCUGAAGAGUAGUAGUAAUAGGGAGAUGCGAUGUCAAGUGUGCUGCCCAGCUCGUCUCUGACUCUAUUUAUAUAUAGAGAGAGAGUUGGAGUUCUCGCAUUAUCUUGUUUUCUUCUGGUGUGGAGUUCCACAUUAUCUUCACGUACGUGCAUCACGUGGUGCAACUAGUAUAUGGACCAUUGAGACUUUGAGAGCCAGCGCCCAGUAGUCCUCCAUUAAAUGGGAUGCUGGCCAUCCACCUAACUGAAAUUAUCUUCUAUCAAAGGACGGUGCGUGCCCAACGGCCAAUGGCGACUCACAAAAAGAAGAAAGAAAUCCAUUCAUUCAUCUAAUGUAAAGAAAGGUGAAAUGAAAAUCUUACAUGUGUUCGAUAGCUCUGCAUGGCCGCUAACUCCUCAACUCUCCCUUCCAUCGCUAGCUUCAACUCUCGGUAAAAUAACCCCAAGCAACAAGUUGAUCUUCGUGAACUAAGCCCAACUCAGAUGGUUAGUUUUUUGUGUGAAACCAGCCCGCCGGGUUCAUGUCCUAGACUUAUCACCGUUGCUUGUAUUUUGCUGGAUUUAUUCCAGACUUUUUGGUGAUAUUCGUUCAGUAAGAAGACAUUUCCCCUAGACUAUGAAAACACGUGUGGUGACUUCGUUAAUCUCAAGAUGAUGUAUCGGCUUAGUCUCGGAGGUGUUCAUAGGAUAGGAUGGGUGUGUGCGUGUUCAUGGAAUGAGUAUAUGUUUGUAGAUUUUUUGCAUGGUAGUAUAUGAGGAGCUGAGCUAGCACUAGGGUUCACCCUCCUCCCCUUCCCCCGCCGCCGGACGCCGGCCUAGCCCCCCACCUGCGUCCCCUUCCGUCCCCUCCUUCCCCCGUCCAGAUCCUCCCUAACGCCGCCUCCUCGGAAGGUGGCCGCGGCGGAGCUCGAGCUCCUCUCCCGCGGGCUCCCUCCUCCCCGUCUCCCCCCCCCGCCCGCCGCCACCGCCGGUGGACGCCCCCCGCGCUGUCCCAGGUGGUGCCGGCGACGGCGGGCCUUCUUGUCCCCGCGCGCGUGCUCCCUUCCCGGGGCAGGGAGGCGGCGGCGGUGCAACCCGGUUUGGCUGCGGUCCGGCGGCCCUACGGCAGUGGUAGGCGUGGUGUCGGCGCCGCUCCUUGGUGGCGGGGCGGCAUUGUGGCGCUAGGUGGCCGGCGUCGCGCCCCCGACCCAGAUCUGGGCCCGGCGGGCCCCAUCUGGGUCCUAGCGGGUCAGCCCCCCGGUGUGCCCUCGUUGUCUGCUGCGCGGUGAGGAGGAGGAGCGGCUCGGAUGUGGGGCGGCGGUGCCGAGGGCGUGCCUGCAGCAGCGCGAGGGCGGGAGCUUUACAUGCCUAUGAGGGCUCAGCCGGGCCUAUGGGCCCACGAGCCUGGUGUGCUCCUGCUAUUGUGUUCGGACGGCUACCAUCGCUGACGGUGGAGGUUGAUCCCUCAUGUGUGCCGACGGUGCUGUUGCCCUAGUCCCGGCUACGAAUCAUCGCCGUGCUGUCCUCACUUCGCAUUGCCGUGGUGAGACGGUGUGGGGGGCUCAAGAUAGCGUUGGCGCAGGGUGGUGGUUGGUUUGGUGGCAGGCUCCGGUGCGCCCGAGGUGCGGCUUGAGAUCGGGGGAAACCCCUUUCGGCAUGGCCGACACUGGCGCUGUGGCGCCUAUAGGUGCCACCUGACCUUCUAGGAGGGCGUCGGGGGCUACCCUUCCUCUCGCCACGCCGUGUAACAGUGGAAACCCUUGGUAGCAGUGUCGUCAUCGCCGCGAUCCUUCUUGGAGGUGUUGAUUGGUGCUGGCGCUUUGGAGUCUUGGAGCCUAGUGAAGAUACCCGGUGGGCGCAGCGGUCGCGAGGCUUCUUCGUUUUUGUUGAUCCACCGUUGUCGGCAUUUGUUUCUUUUGCUCUUUCUCUAUCGUUUCUUUUAGGCAUGACUGUGUUGCUUCCGCCCCAGCACCUAUCCCUUGAUGGUUCGGUUGGUUGCUUUGUAAAACAAAGCGGGGGAAAACCUUUUUUGGAGUAUAUGUGUGCCUAUAUGAGCAUUUGUGCCACCUCCGCAAGCCGCUCCUCGUCACCGAGUAUGGCAAGUUCCUCUAGCAGGAGGGCAUCGAGAACACGACGGCGGCGCGCAGAGAAGGGACCACUUUCUCCACAUGGUGCUCGACACCAUCUACGAGUCAGCGUCGUGGGGCGGGCCACUCGUCGGCGGCGCCUUCUGGUAGCUGCUCGGUGAGUUAUUUCGUGGCCAGGGCGGAGGAGCUUGGUGGCUCGCUCAGGGCUGGCCGGCGUCGGGCAUUUGCGCCUGGUGGUUGUGGUCCUUGCCGGCGUGGAUCUCAGGUCGGGGCUGGGGCUCGCCGGCCUCACGGUUCCAGACACAGAGGAGGGCCUCCAGCUCCGGGCCGUCCGCAGUGCCCUGGGGUGGCAACUGUGCCGGCAGCGGCGAUGCUGGCGGCGUCGGCGGAGUCGGGCAGCCAAGCUCUAGGGUUUGGGCUUCCGAGCAGGCUGGUCUGGUGGGCCUCGGGGCCACUCAGGGAGAGAGGCCCAGGCCCACUUCUAGCUUGGGUCAGGCCCAGGUGGUUGUGACCAGUCAGGAACGGUCGCGCCUGGGGCAACCCUUGUCGCUUUGUAAGAAGCCCGGCCCGCCUAGCCCAGGCCCAGUGGCGUGGGUAUAUAAGUGGCUCUGGCUACACAAAGGGACCCUAGAUCCGUCUUUAGGGUUUCCGGCCACAAAAUCGGAGGUGCGUCGCCUCGGUCGCUCCGCUCGAUCUCUCCUCCCCACUCUCCCCCCGCCGCCCCUCGUGCAUUCCUUCACCGAGGUGGUUGCGAUGGCUUCCAAGGCCGACUGACGGGCGGACAAGCGUCCCCUCCCACCCCUCGACCGUGCGGCGGAGCGUAGCCGCGAGCGUGAGCUUCGGGCGCAUGCCAAGGCGAAAGGUGCAGAGCAUGACAGUGAGGCAGGAGGCUGGGGGGGCGCCAUCGCCGUGGUGGAUUAAAGAGCAGGAGCGCAAGAAGCGGAAGAAGGAAGAGUACAAAAAGAAGGGGCUCGAGCUCAAGCGCAAAGAGGAGAUGCCUCAGUUCUACGCCGAUCGGAUCGGUGACCCCUACGCCGUGAAGAAGAAGAAGAAGUACAAGCCGGUGGGGACGCCGGGCUCCAAGCCGCCGCCUUCACUGCUAGCGGGUCAGUCCUCCAAGGGCACGACAGCCGAGCCCAUUCCGGUGGAGGAGGCAGACGAUAGGGAGUGCUUCAAGUGCGGACGCGCAGGGCACUUCCAGAGCACCUGCAAGUUCAAGGCACUCUGCAUCCUUUGCUCCCAGAAGGGCCACAUUUCAGCCAAUUUCCCCUCCCGCGGCAAGCCCCUCCUGCUUCAGACCAUGGGGCACAGCAUCCCAGGAGAGGGGUUCUUCUGCCUGUAGUUCACUGAAGAUGAAGAUGAAGACCAGCAGUGCGUGAUCGGGGUCAACGCUGCCAUCCUCUCCGCGGCCCCGGGCUUGCUCUCGAAGGAGCUCCUGGAGGUGGAGCUGCCACAUCUGUUUGAGGGCGCGUGGGAUUGGCAGGUGGCCCAGAUCGACGUCGACAACUUCUCGGUGGUUUUCCCAGAUCCCUCCAUGCUGCGCAUGGCCACUCACAACGGCAAGCUGUUUCUCUCCAUUAACAACAUCACAGCGCUGAUCCGCGACGCAGUUAUCGAUGCGCCCAAAGGGGAAACCAUGCCAGAGGUGUGGGUUAAGCUGUGGGGAGUUCCUCCCAAGCACCACAGGGUGGAUAGGAUGAUGGCGGGGAUGUCGAUGUUGGGCAGACCGUUGGUGGUGGACGAGCUGUCCCUGAUCCGCUCUGGCCCGGUCUGGAUGCGUUUCGCCUGUCGCAAGCCAGCGAAGCUGCAGGGCAUGGUGCAGAUAUGGUUCAAUGGUGAGGGCUUCUCCAUCAAGCUUGAGCCGGAGCUCGAUGCACCCCAUCGGGGGGUUCCGGAGCUGCACUCGCCCCCUCCCAACAAUGUCAAAGGCCCGGACAACCUUCUUCUUGUAGACGUUGUUGGGCCUCCAAGUGCAGAGGUUUGUAGGACAGUAGCAAAUUUCCCUCAAGUGGAUGACCUAAGGUUUUGUCAAUCCGUGGGAGGCGUAGGAUGAAGAUGGUCUCUCUCAAACAACCCUGCAACCAAAUAACAAAGAUUCUCUUUUGUCCCCAACACACCCAAUACAAUGGUAAAUUGUAUAGGUGCACUAGUUCGGCGAAGAGAUGGUGAUACAAGUGCAAUAUGGAUGGUAGAUAUAGGUUUUUGUAAUCUUAAAUUAUUAAAACAGCAAGGUAACUAAUGAUAAAAGUGAGCAUAAACGGUAUUGCAAUGGUAGGAAACAAGGCCUAGGGUUCAUACUUUCACUAGUGCAAGUUCUCUCAAUAAUAAGAACAUAAUUGGAUCAUAUAACUAUCCCUCAACAUGCAACAAAGAGUCACUCCAAAGCCACUAAUAGCGGAGAACAAACGAAGAGAUUAUGGUAGGGUAUGAAACCACCUCAAAGUUAUCCUUUCUACUCGAUCUAUUCAAGAGUCUGUAGUAAAAUAACACGAAGCUAUUCUUUCCGUUCAAUCUAUCAUAGAGUUCAUACUAGAAUAACACCUUAAGACACAAAUCAACCAAAACCCUAAUGUCACCUAGAUACUCCAAUGUCACCUCAAGUAUCUGUGGGCAUGAUUAUACGAUAUGCAUCACACAAUCUCAGAUUCAUCUAUUCAACCAACACAAAGUACUUCAAAGAGUGCCCCAAAGUUUCUACUGGAGAGUCAAGACGAAAACGUGUGCCAACCCCUAUGCAUAGGUUCAUAGGCGGAACCGGCAAGUUGAUCACCAAAACAUACAUCAAGUGGAUCACGUGAUAUCCCAUUGUCACCACGGAUAAGCACGACAAGACAUACAUCAAGUGUUCUCAAAUCCUUAAAGACUCAAUCUGAUAAGAUAACUUCAAAUGGAAAACUCAAUUCAUCACAAGAGAGUAGAGGGGGAGAAACAUCAUAAGAUCCAACUAUAAUAGCAAAUCUCACGAUACAUCAAGAUCGUUCCAUAGAGAGAACACGAGAGAGAGAGAGAGAUCAAACACAUAGCUACUGGUACAUACCCUCAGCCCUGAGGCUGAACUACUCCCUCCUCGUCAUGGAGAGCACCGGGAUGAUGAAGAUGGCCACCGGUGAGGGAUCCCCCCUCCGGCAGGGUGCCGGAACGAGCUCCCGACAGGUUUUUGGUGGCUGCAGAGGCUUGCGGCGGCGGAGCUCCCGAUCUAUCUUGUUUUUCGAUGGUUUUAGGGUAUAUGGGAAUAUAUAGGCGAAAGAAGUCGAUCGGGGGAGCCACGAGGGGCCCACGAGAGUGGAGGGCGCGCCCAAGGGGGGUGGGCGCGCCCCCCUAUCUUGUUGACUCCUCAAAGCUUCCAGGGCGCGCCCCCCUAUCUUGUUGACUCCUCAAAGCUUCCCUGGCUUGCACUCCAAGUUCCGUGGAUUGCUUCUGUUCCAAAAAUAACUUUUCCAAAGGUUUCAUUCCGUUUGGACUCCAUUUGAUAUUCCUUUUCUUUGAAACACUGAAAUAGGCAAGAAAACAGCAAUACGGGCUGGGCCUCCGGUUAAUAGGUUAGUCCCAAAAAUAAUAUAAAUGUGUAAAGUAAAGCCCAUAAACAUCCAAAACGGAUAAUAUAAUAACAUGGAACAAUCAAAAAUUAUAGAUACGUUGGAGACGUAUCACCGACUCCCCGCCAGACGGUGAUGGCGCUCGCCUCCCCCUGGCAUAGCCCAUCGGAGACGUCCUGCUCCAGGAGGCCACCAAGGCGGCGCCGAUCCCGCAUGCCAAGCGAUCAAAGGCGGUGGCUGUGGCUCCGGUGCGCUCCAGCUCGCGCUCGAGGGGCGCCAAGCCGAACCUACCGGCGCUGCAGUAGGCUCAACUGAUCCAGGCCUAGAAGAACUUGGAGCUCUCAGAUAAUCCUACCCCUCGCUUUAUGGCUCUGAAUGCAUUCUUUGAUGAUCAUUGUAGUGAGGUGUUGGAGGAUAGUGGGGUGGCGCGUCGUGCUUAGGGGGUACGCAUGAGUUAUUAUCUCUACUACGUGCGAAAGAGCAGGCACAGACAGAGCUCGCAGCUGCUGUUGCAGCGCGCGCUGACCAGCUGGUGCAGGAGGGAGGGGCCUCUCAGGCACUCGCGGUCUGUCCUGAUGAAGUGGAGCUGGCAAUGAUGACCCACAAGUGUAGGGGAUCUAUCCUAGUCCUUUUGAUAAGUAAGAGUGUCGAACCCAAUGAGGAGCAGAAGGAAAUGAUAAGCAGUUUUCAGUAAGGUUUUCUCUGCAAGUACUGAAAUUGUAGGUGAUAGAUAGUUUUGUGAUAAGAUAAAUAGUAACGACCAAUAAGUAAAUAAAGUAAAUAAAGUGCAGCAAGGUGGCCCAAUCCUUUAUGUAGCAAAGGAUAAGCCUGGACAAUUCUAAUAAUGAGAAAGGAUCUCCCGAGGACACAUUGGGAAUUAUCGUCAAGCUAGUUUUCAUCAGUUUGUAAGAUUCGUGUUCGGUACUUUGAUAAUUUGAUAUGUGGGUGGACCGACACUUGGGUACUGCCCUAACUUGGACAAGCAUCCCACUUAUGAUUAACCCCUAUUGCAAGCAAUCACAACUACAAAAAGGAGUAUUAAGGUAAACCUAACCACAACAUUAAACAUAUGGGUCCAUAUCAACCACUAACGAAGCAACGCAUAAACUAGGGUUUAAGCUUCUGUCACUCUAGCAACCCAUCAUCUACUUAUUACUUCCCUAUGCCUUCCUCUAGGCCCAAAUAAUGGUGAAGUGUCAUGUAGUCGACAUUCACAUAACACCACUGGAGGAAAGACAACAUACAUCUCAUCAAAAUAUCGAACGAAUACCAAAUUCACAUGACUACUAAUAGCAAGACUUCACCCAUGUCCUCAGGAACAAACGUAACUACUCACAAAGCAUAUUCAUGUUCAUAAUCAGAGGAGUAAUAAUAUGCAUAAAGGAUCUGAACAUAUGAUCUUCCACCAAGUAAACAAAUUAGUAUCAACUACAAGGAGUAAUCACCACUACUAGCAACCCACAGGUACCAAUUUGUGGUUUUGAUACAAGAUUGGAUACAAGAGAUGAACUAGGGUUUCGAGAGGAGAUGGUGCUGGUGAAGAUGUUGAUGGAGAUUGACCCCCUCCCGAUGAGAGGAUCAUUGGUGAUGACGUUGGUGAUGAUUUCCCACUCCCGGAGGGAAGUGACCCCGGUAGAACAGCUCCACCAAAGCCCUAGAUGGAUUCCGCCAAGGUUCCGCCUCAUGGCGGCGGAGUUUUGUCCUGUAAGCUUGCCCAUGAUUUUUUCCAGGGUAAAAGUGAUGAUAUAGCCGAAGAUGGACACUAGAGGCCCACCAGGGGGCCCAGGAGAUAGGGGGCCGCGCCCUACAGGGGGGCGCCCCUGUCUCCUGGACAGGGUGUGGGCCCCCUGGCCUAUUUCUUUCACUCAUAAAUUCUUAAUAAAUCCAAAAGGUUGUUUCGUGGAGUUUCAGGACUUUUGGAGUUGUGCAGAAUAGGUUUCCAACGUUUGCUCCUUUUCCAGCCAGAAUUCCAGCUGCCGGCAUUCCCCCUCUUCAUGGUAAACCUUGUAAAAUAAGAGAGAAUAGCCAUAAGUAUUGAGAUAUAAUGUGUAAUGACAGCCCAUAAUGCAAUAAAUAUUGAUGUAAAAGCAUGAUGCAAAAUGGACGUAUCAACUCCCCUAAGCUUAGACCUCGCUUGUCCUCAAGCGGAAGCCGAAAUCGAAAAAUAUGUCCACAUGUUUAGAGAUAGAGGUGUCGAGAAAAAUAAAAUACGGACAUGAGGGCAUCAUGAUCAUUCUAAUAACAGUAACAUAUAUAGAUUUUGUCAUAUGAUUUCCUAUGCUCAAGUAAUAAGCAAUUCACAAUGUCAAGUAUGGUUCAUAAACUUCAUUGGGAACUAACAAACUAUAAUCUCAGUCAUUGAAGCAAUUGCAAUUUAUCGUAACAUCAGAAAGAGUCAAUAAUAGAGCUUUUCAACAAGCUCACAUACUCAACUAUCUUGUAGUCUCCCAUAAUUGCUAACACUCAUGCAAUACUUGUGGUUAUAGAGUUUCAGCCGGACAUUGAGAAAGAUAGGGGCUUAUUAUGUUGCCUCCCAAUGUAUUCACCUUUAGGUGAUGUCAACAAUAAUAGCCUAUGCCAACUUACAUCCAAUUGGAUAUAUGUAUCAUGAUCUUUCAAACACGAGGAGCUUGCCAAAGGAUAAAAUGCAAAAGGGAAAAUGUGAGGAUCACCUUGACUCAAGCAUAAAGUAAAAACAUAAAGUAAAAGAUAGGCCCUUCGCAGAGGGAAGCAGAGGUUGUCAUGCACGUUUAGGGUUGAUGCACGAAAUCUUAAUGCAAAAGAACGUCACUUUAUAUUGCCCCUUGUAUGUGGACUUUUAUUAUGCAAUCUGUCGCUUUUAUUACUUCCACAACAAGUUCGUACAAAGCUUAUUUUCUCUGCACUAAUAAGUCAUACAUAUUUAGAGAGCAAUUUUUAUUGCUUGCACCGAUGACAACUUACUUGAAGGAUCUUACUCAAUCCAUAGGUAGGUAUGGUGGACUCUCAUGGCAAAACUGGGUUUAAGGAUAUUUGGAAGCACAAGUAGUAUCUCUACUUGGUGCAAGGAAUUUGGCUAGCAAGAGGGGGAAAGGCAAGCUCAACAUGUUUGGAAGGUCAAUGACAAUAUAAUUUAACUGAGAUGUCGGAAAACAUAAACCAUUACGUUGUCUUCCUUGUCUAACAUCAACUCUUUUAGCAUGUCAUACUUAAUGAGUGCUUCACAACCAUAAAAGAUGUCCAAGAUAAUAUAUCUAUAUGUGAACCCCUCUUUCCUUAUCACUUCCUAUUAAUUGCAACGAUGACCAAGGCUACGUUCAUCAACUCUCAACAAUUUUUAUGCCUCAUACUUUCUAGGUGUGAAGUUAUCACUAUCCAUAAGAUCAAUAUGAACUCUUUUGUUCUUUCUACUUCCUCAAGAUCAUAGCAACAUAGCAAAGCCCUUGACUCAACACUAAUGUUUAUUAUAGAUAGCACACGAACUCGCUUACAUAAAGAGAUCACAAUGCAAAACUCAAAACUACUUGAUAUCAAAACUUCAAUAUACUAGAUCAAGAUACUACUAAAAGGAUCGAACUAAAUAAAGCGGUGAAUAUAGGAGUGCGAUGGUGAUACGAUACCGGGGCACCUCCCCCAAGCUUGGCAGUUGCCAAGGGGAGUGCCCAUACCCAAGUGAUUAUUUCUUCGGAGGUGGUGAAGUGGGAAUUGUUGAUGAUGUAGGCUUGUCGUCCGUCUUCCAAGGCAUAGGCUCUCCAUCAUAAAUGGACGAUCGAGUCUUCGGGAUCCUUAAAUCUGCAGCCAAACUCAUUCGCUUGAAUCUAUAUUCAUACUCACAGUUCUGGUUUUGCAGGUCAUAAAUCUGGGCUUGGAGGUGCUUGAUUUUCUUUUGAAGCUUGAAGAUGGUCUCCCCAAUGACUUUGGCAUCCAUCUUGUGGUUGUUGGUGAACUCCGUGAUCAUCAUCUGAUUGGCGUUGAGUCCACACUCCACCAUCCCUUAACACUUGAAAACUUCUUGCUCCAUGGCUUCGAGCUUUGUCUCCAUGCUCCCGAUGAGCCUUGGUCCCUCCACAUCGCGGAUGUGCAGGACCCCCUCACGCAUCUCAAUGGUUUGAGGGUGAUGAAGCACCUCCGCGAGAUAGGGGUUGAUAACCCUCUCGAAAAACUUGUCCUUGGGAGCGCUUGGAGACGACAUGAUGCUCUAGAUCUGAAACAGAAACAGCUCGAAAUGAAAACAGAAGAUAUUUGCGUGAUACGGUGGUCAAAACCUUCGGGAGUAUAUAUAAUGAUUUUUUACCGACCAAAAUAUGUAACAUACAAGAAAACAGAGUCCGGGAGGCACACGAGGUGCCCACGAGACAGGGGGCGCUCCCUACAGGCGGGGGGCGCAGCCUCCUCUCUCGUGGGAGCCUUGUGUCCCUUUCGGACUACUUCUUUCUUCCUAAAAUUCUUAAAUAAUCCAAAACUUAUAAAAAUUGCCAUUAGAGUUGUUUUGGAGUCGGUUUACUUACCGUACCACGUACCUAUGCCUUUUCGGAGUCUGGAACAUUCUGGAAAGUGUCUCUUAUGUAUUGCUCAUGGGUUAUGGUUUCAAUAAUAUUAGUUUCAACAUUGAUAGGAUUACCUGAAAUAUAAUGUUUAAUUCUUUGACCAUUUACCACCCUCAGAUUUGUGCCUUCGAAGUUGUUGAUUUUUAUAGCACCAGAACAAUAGACCUCCUCGAUAACGUAGGGACCUUCCCAUUUUAAGAGAAGUUUUCCUGCAAAAAAUCUUAAACGAGAGUUGAAUAUUAACACAUAAUCUCCUACGUUAAACUCACGCUUUUGUAUCCUCUUAUCAUGCCAGCGUUUGACUUUUUCUUUGAAAAGCUUGACAUUCUCAUAUGCUUGGGUUCUCCAUUCAUCAAGUGAGCUAAUAUCAAACAACCUCUUCUCACCGGCAAGUUUGAAGUCAUAAUUGAGCUGUUUAAUAGCCCAAUAUGCUUUAUGUUCAAGUUCAAGAGGUAAAUGACAUGCUUUUCCAUAAACCAUCUUAUAUGGAGACAUACCCAUACGAUUUUUGUAUGCAGUUCUAUAGGCCCAUAAUGCAUCAUCAAGUUUUUUGGACCAAUUCUUUCUAGAUCUAUUCACAAUAUUUUGCAAAAUUAAUUUGAGCUCUCUAUUGCUCAACUCUACUUGACCACUAGACUGCGGGUGAUAAGGAGAUGCGAUGCUAUGAUUGACAUCAUACUUAGCAAGCACCUUAUGGAAAGCACCAUGAAUAAAGUGUGAACCACCAUCAGUCAUAAGAUAUCUAGGGACUCCAAACCUCAGAAAAACAACUUCUUUAAGCAUUUUAAUAGAAGUGUUAUGAUCAGCACUACUAGUUGGAAUAGCUUCUACCCACUUAGUAACGUAAUCAACAACAACUAAAAUAUGUGUAUAACCAUUGGAGGCAGGAAAAGGUCCCAUAUAAUCAAAGCCCCAAACAUCAAAUGGUUCAAUAACAAGAGAAUAAUUCAUAGGCAUUUCUUGACGUCUACUAAUGUUACCUAUUCUUUGACAUUCAUCACAAGAUAAGACAAACUUACGAGCAUCUUUGAAGAGAGUAGGCCAAUAAAACCAGAUUGUAGUACCUUGUGUGCAGUUCUAUCUCCAGCGUGGUGUCCUCCAUAAGAUUCAGAGUGACAGUUGCGUAGGAUUUGUUCCUGUUCAUGCUCAGGCACACAACAUCUAAUAAUACCAUCUACUCCUUGUUUAUAAAGGUGUGGAUCAUCCCGGAAGUAAUGUCUUAAAUCAUAAAAGAACUUUUUCUUUUGCUGGUAUGUGAAACUAGGCGGUAUAUAUUUAGCAACAAUGUAAUUAGCAUAAUCAGCAUACCAAGGAGCAGUACGAGAAGCAUUGACAACCGCUAAUUGUUCAUCAGGAAAACUAUCAUUAAUAGGCAGUGGGUCAUCAAGAAAAUUCUCUAACCUAGACAAGUUGUCUGCAACGGGGUUCUCAGCUCCCUUUCUAUCAAUAAUAUGCAAGUCAAAUUCUCGGAGCAAGAGAACCCAUCUAAUGAGUCUAGGCUUAGCAUCUUUCUUUUCCAUAAGAUAUUUAAUAGCAGCAUGAUCAGUGUGAAUAGUAACUUUGGAAUCAACAAUAUAAGGUCUAAACUUAUCACAUGCAAACACAACUGCUAAGAACUCUUUUUCAGUAGUAGCAUAAUUUCUCUGGGCAGUAUCAAGAGUCUUACUAGCAUAUUGGAUAACAUUCAAUUUCUUAUGAACUCUUUUCCCUAAAAUAGCACCUACAUCAUAAUCACUAGCAUCGCACAUAAUUUCAAAAGGUAAAUUCCAAUCAGGUGGCUGGACAAUAGGUGCAGUGAUCAAGGCUUUCUGAAGUGUUUCAAAUGCUUCUACACAAUCAUCAUCAAAGACAAAAGGAAUAUCUUUUUGCAAUAAAUUAGUAAGAGGCCUAGAGAUUUUAGAAAAGUCCUUAAUGAACCUCCUAUAAAAGCCGGCAUGAGCAAGGAAACUUCUUAUACCUUUUAUGUCCUUGGGACAUGGCAUCUUUUCAAUAGCAUCAACUUUGGAUUUAUCAACUUCAAUACCUCUCUCCGGAGAUCUUGUGCCCCAAGACAAUGCCUUCAUUAACCAUAAAGUGACACUUUUCCCAAUUCAGGACGAGACUAGUGUCUUCGCAUCUCUGCAAAACUCGAUCAAGGUUGCUCAAACAAUCAUCAAAAGAGGAUCCAUAGACGGAGAAGUCAUCCAUGAAUACCUCACAAAUCUUUUCACAAAAAUCAUAAAAUAUAUCCAUCAUGCAUCUUUGAAAGGUAGCAGGUGCAUUACAUAAACCAAAAGGCAUACGUCUAUAAGCAAAAGUACCAAAAGGGCAAGUAAAAGUAGUUUCAGAUUGAUCCUUCGCGGGCACAUGUAUUUGAGAGAAGCCAGAAUAACCAUCUAGAAAGCAAAAAUAUGUUUGUUUGGAUAGCCUUUCUAGCAUUUGAUCAAUAAAAGGUAAAGGGUAAUGAUCUUUCUUAGUAGCUUUAUUUAACAUACGGAAAUCAAUUACCAUCCUAUAGCCUGUAAUAAUUCUUUGCAGGAUCAAUUCAUCUUUAUCAUUAGGAACAACGAUAAUACCUCCCUUUUUAGGGACACAAUGGACAGGGCUUACCCAUUCACUAUCAGCAACGGGAUAAAUAAUACCUGCCUCAAGGAGUUUUAGAAUCUCCUUUCUUACCACUUCCUUCAUUUUGGGGUUUAAUCGUCUUUGAGGAUCUCUAACUGGUUUGGCAUCUUUCUCCACUGAAAUUUUGUGUUGACAUAAUGUGGGACUAAUGCCCUUAAGAUCGUCCAGAGUAUAUCCAAUAGCAGCUCGGUGCUUCUUCAGAGUUUUCAAUAAUCUUUCUUCUUCUUUCUCUGAAAGGUUAGCACUAAUAAUAACAUGAUAUAUUUCUUUUUCAUCAAGAUAAGCAUACUUGAGAUUAUCAGGUAAGGGUUUGAGUUCGAACACUGGAUCACCCUUGGGUGGAGGGGGAUCCCCAUGAGUUUCAACGGGAAGGUUAUGUUUUAGCAUAGGUUCUUGUUUAAGGAACACUUCAUCUAUUUCUUCCCUUUCCUUCAUAAACAUAUCGUUUUCAUGGUCUAAAAAAUAUUGUUCUAACGGUUCAGUUGGAGGAACAACAAUGGAAGCAAGACCAAUAAUUUCAUCCUUACUAGGUGGUUCCCUUUCACGAGGUUGUCUACUAAACUUAGCGAAAUUAAACUCAUGAGACAUACCAUCUAUGCCAACAGUGACAAUAUUCUUUUCACAAUUAAUCUUAGCACUAGCAGUAUUCAAGAAGGGUCUACCAAAAAUAAUGGGACAAAAAUCAUCUUGUGGGGAACCAAGAACAAGAAAAUUAGCAGGGUAUUUAAUCUUCCCACACAAGACUUCAACAUCUCUAACAAUCCCAAUAGGUUUAAUGGUGUCCUCAUUAGCAAGCUUAAUAGUAACAUCAAUGUCUUCUAAUUCAACAGGUGCAAUAUCGUUCAUAAUUUCUUUAUAAAGAUCAUAAGGUAUCACAUUAGCACUAGCACCCAUAUCACAUAAGCCAUGAUAACAAUGAUCUCCUAUUUUAACAGAAAUAACAGGCAUGCCUACAACAGGUCUACGUGUCUUAUUAUCGGGUCUAGCAAUAUUAGCAGUUUCACCCAAGAAAGAGAUAACAUGCCCAUCUAAGUCCUCAUCCAAGAGAUCUUUAAUCAUAGCAAUACCACGUUCAACAUUAAUUUUCUCAGGAGGUGUAUAGGUCCUAGUAUUACUCUUACGAACAACAGUAGAAGCUUUAACAUGAUCUUUUAUCCUAACAGGAAAAGGAGGUUUUUCAACAUAAGCAGUAGGAAUAAUAGGAUCACUAUAUGUAAUAGUCUUUUCUUCGACUGUAAUAGGUGCAACUACUUUCACUUCAGCAGGGGGAUUAUAUUUAAACCACUUCUCUUUAGGGAGAUCAACGUGGGUAGCAAAAGUUUCACAAAAGGUAGAUACUAUCUCAGAGUCAAGUCCAUACUUAGAGCUAAAUCCACGAAAAGCAUCGGUAUCCAUAAAAGAUUUAACACAAUCGAACUUAGGUGUCAUACCUGACUCCUUACCAUCGUAGGAACCCCAAUCUUCAGAGUUGCGUUUAAUUCUUUCCAAUAAGUCCCAUUUGAAAUCAAUAGUCUUCAGCAUAUAGGAACCAUCAUAGGAAGUAUCGAGCAUGUUGCGAUUAUCAAGAGAAAGCCGAGCAUAAAAAUUCUGAAUAAUCAUUUCCCGAGAGAGCUCAUGAUUGGGGCAUGAAUAUAACAUUGACUUAAGCCUCCCCAAGCUUGAGCGAUGCUUUCUCCUUCGCGAGGCCAGAAAUUAUAUAUGUAAUUACGAUCACGAUGAACAAGAUGCAUAGGAUAGAACUUCUGGUGAAAUUCCAACUUCAGUCGCUUAUAAUUCCAAAAUCUCGUAUCAUCACAUAGCCUAUACCAUGUCAUUGCAUCUCCCUUCAAAGAUAAAGGGAAGACCUUCCUUUUGACAACAUCAUCGGGGAUACCUGCAAGCUUAAAUAAUCCACAAACUUCAUCCACAAAGAUAAGGAGUAAGUCAGGAUGCAAUGUUCCGUCUCCUGCAAAAGGAUUAGCUAGCAGUUUUUCUAUCAUACCCGAAGGAAUCUCAAAGUGAAUAUUUUCAUAAGGUUCAGUAGGUUGAGGAGCAUCUCUUUGCUCUUCUGGUUGGGGUGAAGAUACCCCAAACAAGCCCCUCAAAGGAUUAGUUUCCAUAGUGACAAGUAACAGAAAAUUUCAGCACACUAUAUAAAUGUUUCCUUACCAAGUUCCACUCACCAAAAGCGCCAGAAAAGAGUUUUGAUGACCCACAAGUGUAGGGCAUAUAUCAUAGUCCUUUUGAUAAGUAAGAGUGUCGAACCCAACGAGGAGCAGAAGGAAAUGAUAAGCGGUUUUCAGUAAGGUUUUCUAUGCAAGCACUGAAAUUGUAGGUGAUAGAUAGUUUUGUGAUAAGAUAAAUAGUAACGAGCAACAAGUAAGUAAAGUAAAUAAAGUGCAGCAAGGUGGCCCAAUCCUUUAUGUAGCAAAGGAUAAGCCUGGAUAAUUCUAAUAAUGAGAAAGGAGCUCCCGAGGACACAUUGGGAAUUAUCGUCAAGCUAGUUUUCAUCACGUUCGUAAGAUUCACGUUCGGUACUUUGAUAAUUUGAUAUGUGGGGUGGACCGACACUUGGGUACUGCCCUAACUUGGACAAGCAUCCCACUUAUGAUUAACCCCUAUUGCAAGCAUCCGCAACUACAAAAAGGAGUAUUAAGGUAAACCUAACCAGAACAUUAAACAUAUGGGCCCAUAUCAACCCCUAACGAAGCAACACAUAAACUAGGGUUUAAGCUUCUGUCACUCUAGCAACCCAUCAUCUACUUAUUACUUCCCUAUGCCUUCCUCUAGGCCCAAAUAAAGGUGAAGUGUCAUGUAGUCGAUGUUCACAUAACACCACUAGAGGAAAGACAACAUACAUCUCAUCAAAAUAUCGAACGAAUACCAAAUUCACAUGACUACUAAUAGCAAGACUUCACCCAUGUCCUCAGGAACAAACGUAACUACUCACAAAGCAUAUUCAUUUUCAUAAUCAGAGGAGUAAUAAUAUGCAUAAAGGAUCUGAACAUAUGAUCUUCCACCAAGUAAACCAAUUAGUAUCAACUACAAGGAGUAAUCAACACUACUAGCAACCCACAAGUACCAAUUUAUGGUUUUGAUACAAGAUUGGAUACAAGAGAUGAACUAGGGUUUUGAGAGGAGAUGGUGCUGGUGAAGAUGUUGAUGGAGAUUGACCCCCUCCUGAUGAGAGGAUCGUUGGUGAUGACGUUGGUGAUGAUUUCCCCCUCCCGGAGGGAAGUGUCCCCGGCAGAAUAGCUCCGCAGAGCCCUAGAUUGAUUCCGCCAAGGUUCCGCCUUGUGGUGGCGGAGUUUCAUCCCGUAAACUUGCCCACGAUUUUUUCGAGGGUAAAAGUGAUGAUAUAGCUGAAGAUGGACGCCGGAGGCCCACCAGGGGGCCUAGGAGAUAGGGGGCCGCGCCCUACAAGGGGGGCGCGCCCCCUUUCUCCUGGAUAGGGUGUGGGCCCCCUGGCCUAUUUCUUUCUCUCAUAAAUUCUUAAUAAAUCCAAAAGGUUGUUUCGUGGAGUUUCAGGACUUUUGAAGUUGUGCAGAAUAUGUUUCCAUCGUUUGCUCCUUUUCCAUCCAGAAUUCCAGCUGCCGGCAUUCCCCCUCUUCAUGGUAAACCUUGUAAAAUAAGAGAAAAUAGCCAUAAGUAUUGAGAUAUAAUGUGUAAUGACAGCCCAUAAUGCAAUAAAUAUUGAUAUAAAAGCAUGAUGCAAAAUGGACGUAUCAGGCAACAGGUGUUGGCCCCCCUCCCUCACCUUGCAGAGCCAAGGUGAGGCGUGUGGCCAAGGCAGUGUCCUCGAGGGGCAUUCAUCUUCGCAACCGUAUCAUUUAGAUGCACACAAUCUUUUGGAACAUUCGUGGCUUCGGCCACGUGGGUCGCCGAUCCCAGCUGAAGGAUUAUAUGCAGAAGGAACAUAUAGAUAUCGUUGGCUUGCAGGAGACCAUUAAGUUAGAUUUCCGUCCUCAUGAGCUGCUCGCCAUCGACCCCCUGGAGAGGUUCACUUGGAACCACCUAGCUGCGUCUGAGCACUCAGGGGCAUGCUGCUAGGCUUUGGCCAAGCAGUUUACGAGGUGCUAAAAUGGGAUGCAGGUACCUUUUUUUAGCUGGGCACAUUCGCCACCGUCAGUCUCAGAGGGGGCUAGUGGUGAUUCAGGUCUACGGACCGGCAGAUCACUCAAGAUCGGCCAAUUUUUUGGGAGAAUUGCAAACCAAGGUGCUAUCGGUGAGCUCUUCGCUUAUCCGUCUAGUGGUUGGGGGAUUUUAAUCUGAUCCGCUCGGGAGCAGAUAAAUACAACUGCAAUAUUAAUUGGCCAAGGUGGCCAUGUUUAAUAACGCCAUUUCCACCAUGGAUCUUUAGGAGGUGGCUAGGUCAGGGGCUCAUUACACGUGGACGAACAAACAGUUGGCCCCGGUGCUAUCCGUGCUUGAUAGGGUGUUCAUCUCGCCCGACUGAGAAAUUGUGUACCCUCUAUGCUCGCUCAUUGCUGAGACCAGGAUAGGGUCAGACCACGUCCCGCUUAUUCUUACCUCAGGGGAGGACAGGAUUCGUCGAAGCCCUCAGUUCUUUUUCGAGACAGCUUGGUUCGAAAAUCCCGACUUUGAUUCCAUUUUCAGGGCGAAAUGGAAGCAAUGUGUUAGCCAGGCGGGUACCCGACGGGAUCCGAUGGAUUUUUGGAUCGCGGUAGGGGGCUGCCUACGGGCUAUGCUUAAGGGCUGGGGGGCAAUUUGGGCCGUCAGGAAAAGAUGCUCAGGGGGAGUAUCCUAGCUGAGAUAGCGAACCUUGAUAAACAGGCUGACGAGCGGCCUUUUUCUGAACAAGAAUGGGCCCAACAUUACACGCUGGAGGAUCAGGUUCGGUCCUUGCUUCGCGUGGAAGAGUAGUACUGGCGGCGUCAUGGUGGCCUCAAGUGGGUGCUUAAAGGUGAUGCUAACACGAAAUACUUCCAUGCCUACGCUAAUGGGAGACGGCGUAGAUGUGUGAUUCUCCGGAUGUAGUCGGAACAGGGGUUACUGCUAGAUUAGGCAGAUAUAGUGCGUCAUGUCUACGACGUCUAUAUCUAGCUGAUGGGGACGAGUGAGGAGCAGCGAGCAGGGGUGCACGCUGACCUAUGGGACCCGCCCCAGCUUGUUACCGAUCAGGAAAAUGAGGAGCUGGGGCUCGCCUUUUUACCUGAGGAGAUUGAUGCUGCUCUGAAGAGCAUGAAAACCGAUACCGUGCCAGGCCCAAAUGGAUGGCCUGUGGCCAUGUUCAAACACUUCUGGUCGAUCCUGCAGGGACCUAUGUUCGAGGUGUGCAGUGGCUUCAUGUGUGGGAUGGUAGACAUCACUCGGCUCAACUUUGGUGUCCUUUCGCUUAUCCCUAAGGUGGCAGGCGUUGAUAACAUCUGACAAUUUAGGCCUAUCGUGUUAAUUAACGUACCUUUUUAAGAUUUUUUCCAUAGCGACCACCUCGCGCCUUGUCCCGAUAGUGCACCAUAUCAUUAGCCGCACCCAAACCGCUUUCAACCGCGGUUGAAACAUCCUUGAGGGUACUCUUGCCCUGCAAGAGAUCAUCCACGAACUCAAACGCACUAAGGAACCAGCCAUUCUUCUUAAAUUAGACUUCAAAAAAGCGUACGAUCGCAUGAACUGGAACUUUUUGCGCUAGGUCCUGCUGAGCCGGGGUUUCUCGGCCAUGUGGGUCCACCGAGUGAUGCAGCUAGUCUCGGGUGGCCGGGCUUCUAUUUCGGUCAACGGGAAGUUGGGAACUUCUUCCAGAAUAGACGGGGACUGUGUCAGGGCAACCCGAUGUCUCCGCUCUUGUUUAACUUUGUGGUUGAUGCUCUCGCAGAUAUGCUACGGAGAGGGACCACGGCUGGACACAUCAACGGAGUGGUCAUCCAUCUUAUUCCAGGGGGAUUUCGCACUUGCAGUACACAGAAGACACCCUGCUACUGUUCCAACCGGAUACUCACAAUAUUGUGAUAGUUAAAGCGCUACUGUUGAGCUUUGAAUUGAUGUCCGGACUCAAAAUCAAUUUUCACAAGUGUGAAAUGCUAUCUAUGGGGGAUAGAUAGUGAGGAGGGGCGACGCAUCGUGGACCUCCUCAACUAUAAAGUGGGAAAUUUCCCCUUUAUGUACCUAGGCCUGCCCCUAGCUCAUCGUAGGGUGAUAAUCGACGAUUGGGCACCCCUAAGUGGAAAAGUGGGAAGAAAAGUGAGCCCCUGGCAUGGCAAGUUCAACUCCUCCGCGGCACGACUUGUCCUGACCAACUCUAGCCUCUCCUCGCUUCCCAUGUUCGCCAUGGGUCUUUUCCUAUUGGCGGAAGGGGUCCACGCUAAAAUGGACACGCCGCAAGCUCGUUUCUUUUGGGAAGGAACGGGUCUCAAACGCAAAUACCAUAUAGUCAAAUGGGUUGUGGUGUGUUGGCCCAAGUCCUUGGUGUUGGGGAAUGCGAUAAUUUCAAAAAAAAUCCCUACAAUCACGCAAGAUCUAUCUAGGCGAUGCAUAGCAAUGAGAGGGGAGAGUGUGUCCAUGUACCCUCGUAGACCAAAAGCGGAAGCGUUUAGUUAACACGGUUGAUGUAGUCGAACGUCUUCGCGAUCCAACCGAUCCAAGCACCGAACGUACGGCACCUCCGCGUUUAGCACACGUUCAGCUCGAUGACAUCCCUCGUACUCUUGAUCCAGUUGAGGCCGAGGGAGAGUUUCAUUAGCACAACGGCGUGGUGAUGGUGAUGAUGAAGUUACCGGCGCAGGGUUUCGCCUAAGCACUAUGACGAUAUGACCGAGGUGUGUAACUAUGGAGGGGGGCACUGCACACGGCUAAAAGAUCAACUUGUGUGUUCUAGGGUGCCCCCCGUCCCCCAUAUAUAAAGGAGCAAGGGGAGGCCGGCCGGCCCUCCUAGGGCGCGCCCCCAAGAGUGGAAUCCUACUAGGACUCCAAGUCCUAGUAGGUUUCCACCAAGAGGGAGAGAGAGGGAAGGAAGGAGAUGGAGAGGGAGAAGGAAAGAGGGGCGACGCCCCUCCUCCCUAGUCCAAUUCGGACCCCAAAGGGGAGGGAGCGUGUGGCCUGCCUUGGCCACCACUCUCUCUCUCAACUAAGGCCCAUGUGGCCCAUUAGUUCCCCCGGGGGGUUCCGGCAACCGUCCGACACUCCAGUUUUAUCCGAAACUUCUCCGGAACACUUCCGGUGUCCGAAUAUAGCCGUCCAAUAUAUCAAUCUUUAUGUCUCAACCAUUUCAAGACUCCUCGUCAUGUGUGUGAUCUCAUCCGGGACUCCGAACAAACUUCUUUCAUCAAAACACAUAACUAUUAAUACAAAUCAUCAUCGAACGUUAAGCGUGCGAACCCUAUGGGUUCGAGAACUAUGUAGACAUGACCGAGACACAUCUCCGGUCAAUAACCAAUAGCAGAACCUGGAUGCUCAUAUUGGCUCCUAUAUAUUCUACGAAGAUCUUUAUCGAUCAAACCUCAUAAUAACAUACGUUGUUCCCUUUGUCAUCAGCAUGUUACUUGCCCAAGAAUCGAUCGUCGGUAUCAUCAUACCUAGUUCAAUCUCGUUACCGGUAAAUCUCUUUACUCGUUUCGUAAUACUUCAUCCCGCAACUAACUCAUUAGUCACAAUUCUUGCAAGGCUUAUAGUGAUGAGUAUUACCGAGAGGGCCCAGAGAUACGUCUCCGAAACACGGAGUGACAAAUCCUAAUCUCGAUCUAUGCCAACCCAACAAACACCUUCAGAGACACCUGUAGAGCACCUUUAUAAUUACCCAUUUACAAUGUGACGUUCGGUAGCACACAAAAUGUUCCUCUAGUAUUCGAGAGUUGCAUAAUCUCAUAGUCUGAGGAACAUGUAUAAGUCAUGAAGAAAGCAGUAGCAAUGGAAUUGUAACGAUCAUAAUCCUAAGCUAACGGAUGGGUCAUGUUCAUUACAUCAUUCUCCUAAUGAUGUGAUCUCGUUCAUCAAAUGACAACACAUGUCUAUGGUUAGGAAACACAACCAUCUUCGAUAAACGAGCUAGUCAAGUAGAGGCAUAUUAGGGACAAUAUGUUUUGUCUAUGUAUUCACACAUGUACUAAGUUUCUGGUUAAUACAAUUCUAGCAUGAAUAAUAAACAUUUAGCAUGAAAUAAGGAAAUAAAUAAUAACUUUAUUAUUGCCUCUAGGGCAUAUUUCCUUCAGUCUCCCACUUGCACUAGAGUCAAUAAUCUAGAUUACAUAGUAAUGAUUCUAACACCCAUGGAGCUUUGGUGCUGAUCUUGUUUUGCUCGUGGAAGAGGCUUAGUCAAAGCACUACAAAAAAAUACACUUCCGUGAUGAUACGUGUUUGUCAUAGUAGGUCGCGUUUUUUGUCAUGCAUGUACAUCCAUGACAAAUUUAUGACAGAAUCAAGAUAGUCAUACCUGUGUUGUCGUAGAAGUGUUCCAUGACAUUACCAAAAUUAUCAUCACGGAAGUGUCCACUUCCAUGAUGAUAAAUCGCGCGUCACAGAAGUUCUUUCAUCAAGGGUGACCAACACGUGGCAUCCACCGUAACGGAACGCUGUUAAGCUAUCGGGUCGGGUUUUGGAUCCGAUAACCCGUUAACAGCCCCGACCAAUGGGGAUUGUCCACGUGUAAAAUCAUCAUUGGCUGGCGGAAACACAUGUCGGCUCACCGUUGGGACAGAUGUCAUCCACUCAUUGGACAGAAGGCGCCUAUGAUACGUCGACACGUGGCACAGCCCAACAGAGGCCCAUUCCUGUGAAAAGGCCGGCUCGUUUGACUUGGUCAAAAGGUGGCGGGCCGGCCCAUGGAAAGCCUGUUAACGGCCUGUUCGCAUAUAGCCCAUUUGCAGCCCGCUAACCCAAGGCCCGUUACGCUCUAUCCGAAUUAGGCCCAGUAGCAUCAUCUGGGCCAUCCAAUAUGAUUCCAGCCCGUUUUCACUUCUGGCCCAUGUAUGGCCCAUGACGUCUUUUGGCCCAUAUGGGGCCCUAUGUAACUCUUGGCCUAUUAACGGCCCAUGGUGAAACUGGCCCGCAAUGAAUAGUGUAUCACUUUACACCCAUUAACGACCCGUGGUGAAACUGGCCCGUAAUGAACAGUAUGUCACUUUAUACCCAUUAAGGGCCCGUUAUUCAGUUGGGCCGUUUCUAGCAAAUGUUAUCUUUCGUCCUUCUCAGAGCCCAUUUAUUCUUGGGCUCAUUUCCAGCAUUCGUUUACUUACGGCCCGUUACUGUCAUUUUCUGCUUAUGGGCCAAAUUCAGCCCGUGGUUACAUCGGCCCGUUUGUGGUUCAUUAAUACGUUGGGCCGUUUUCAUAGCGUCAUCAAAUACGGCCUAUUAACAAUGGCCCGUUAUGGUCAUACGGCCCGUAUAAGACCCAUUCAUGAUACGGCCCGUAGAAGGCCCAUUGUUUCUACGGCCGUAGAAGGCCCAUUGUUUCUACGGCCCGUAGAAGGCCUACUGUUUCUACGGCCCGUAGAAUGCCCACUGUUUCUACGGCCCGUAGGAGGCCCAGUGUCACUACAGUAAAUAUUAGCCCAUGGUUAUUGUGGCCUAGUUUUAAAAAGAACUGCACUGACUACAAGCAAACAAAUAAACAAGACAACAAGUAAAUAAAUAAGCAAGAAACUUAUGCUAGGCUAUCACGGCUGUUACACAUAUUACAUCCACUGGGCAUCAAAGUUCGCCACCAGUGCAAAUAUAGGGAACAAAGCAGCAUAUCAUAUACACUGGUUGCCAAAGUUGGCGACCAGCACAAAUAAACGCCGCAACAAAACAAAUCCAGAACUGAAACCACUUCAGAAGAUCUCAAGAAACAAUAUCCUGGGUACCCAUAAUGCUAGCAAGAUGCUUAGCAAGCUUAUUAACUUUCUCUUGUUUGGCGCUUAAAUCCUCCAGCGCUUGCUGUUGCACCAGAAAAUAUGCAUCUGAAUUCUGCAGGGACUUCCUCAGUCCUUCAGCUUCCUGUCGCAGCACAUCUGAUCGAUGUCUUUCAACUUGAAGUUGAGAUUCAAGAAGACAAACUGAUUCAGAUAGCGAGUUCGAAGAGCUUGUGCCAGCAGUAGUGGCCAGUAACUCGAACACUACAUCAAGACAAGACUUUAGGGUUCCCUUACUGUCAUCAAGAUAGUUUUUAUCAGCUUUCUUGGAGACCAACAGGGAUGUCUCACUAUCUUGAACCUUAUCUGCAUUACUUCCUUUACCAUUGGAUAACGCGGUACUGUUCUCCAAUAUUUUGUCCGCAUUCUAAAAGAGAAACAAGCAGACACAUCACAUGUUUACCAUGUUGUAUAUGAAACUCAUUUUGGUAAAUGAGUUCAGUAGUAAAGUGGACAGGAUAACAACAUGAAACAAACAUAUAUCUAUGUACCAUGGUUACUUUAUGGUCUAUAUCAUUCUAGUUUUUGUUGCCAAAUCAAGAUAGAGACACAGUUCAAAUAUUAUUUGUUCAAGACAAAGCAGAAUAGACAGAAUAUAAGUGUGGGUAACUAUAGAGCAAUAACAACACUUGUAAUGUGCAUGACAUGAGAACUUAACUUUUUAUUCAAUUGAAACUGAAAUCAACAUAGAGCAGGUUACAACAGCAAACCAGUUAAAGAAACAGGUUUAAAACAUACCUGUUGCGCCAUUGGAGUUUCAAUUCCAUCCUUCAAAUUUGAAAAUAGUUAGUAUGAGUAAAUACAGUAAUGCAAGAGCAAAGGAGUAUGAACCAUAGAUACAGAACCUGACCUGAGAACAAAUCUUCUUCUCCUUUAAGCGUUGAGUUGGGAUUCGGAGUAGUGGUCCUCGUGCUUUGGGCACUGCAGUUCCCUUACUAACCGCUCGUGUUUGGGUGCUUUGUGGUGGAGACGGUGCUGUGUCAACUGGAACUGGGUUAUUAUCUGUCGGGGUUGGGGUUAGAAGGGGUGUAGUUGGUUCUCUGUCCAACUGGGUAGGGGUACAAUCUGCGAGAGUCUGGGUUAUGUGUGGUGGAUCUGGUCCUUGGGCAAGUACAACCGUGGUUCUAUCUGCAUCAGCUGGUAGCACUAUCUUUUCUGAAGACCAUGUUGUUACUCCCUUAGAUACUGCCAUCACGCUCUCCAAUUCAAAUGGCCGAUAAACAAGAAAAGUAAUUGAAAGUAUAGACAUUGUAUGAUAGACAGGUGCAAUGGAUAGUGGGGAAUAAAAGAGGGCAGGAAAUAAUUCAUAUUUAUGUUGUCUAACCAAACAGGAUAGCAUGACACAAUUUCACAUAUAUGAUGGCUAACUAAACAGGAUAGCAUGACACAAUUUCACAUUAUGAUGGCUAACUAAAAUAGAUGGAAAGACAUAGUUCAAAAUAUGAGACUAUGUAAAUAGGAUGACAUGACAUAACUAUAUAAUGUGUUUAUUAAAUAGGUUGGCAUGCCAUAAUUCACAUACAUUCAUGGAUAGAAUGCCAUAAUUCUAAAUAUGAUGAUUGUAAACACUAAACAGGAUGAGAUGAUAUAACUAUAUGAUGUCUUUAUUAAAUGGGUUGCCAUGCCAUAAUUUAGAUAGAUGAUGUGUAUGUACUAUGUAAACAUGAUGGCAUGAUAUAAUUCAAAUAUAUGAUUUAUAUAGUAAGCAAGUAAGCAGAUGGCAAUCUAUAUAUGAUGUAAAAACUAAGCAAUGCAAGACAACAUGCAUGACAUGGGUAAUAUAACCCUGCCAAGUUUGAGCAUAGACCUCAGUGGGGAAAUAGGACUGGUCAUCAGUCUCUGAAUCCUCCUCUGAGGAGCUCUCUGUAGCCAGCAAGAUGUCUUCUUCAGCAGGUAGCAUUGUCUGCUCUGAAUACCUUGUUUUCACUCUAGAUACUUCCGUCACCGCUUCAAAUGGCUAAUGCAUAGGAAGAGUAGUUGAAUAUACAAACGUUGUCGACAAAUGGAACACGUAAUACAAAAAAAUGAUAGCAUGAUAUAAUUCACAUACAUGAUGAUUGGCUAAACAGCAUGGCAUUGCAUAAUUCACAUAUAUAAUGCCUUUGCAACAAGAUAGCAUUGUAUAAUUCACAUAUAUAAUGUCUUGCAACAAGAUAGCAAUGCAUAAUUCACAUUUAUGGUAAUUAGACACUGAACAGGUGGCAUUCACACAAAGCAUGUCUAAACUAAUCAAAUGGCAUAGAAAUGCGAGCCACCAUACGCACGAUAUGAGCAACAUAACCCUGCCAAGUUAGAGCAUACACCUCGGGGGGGGGGGGAAUAGGACUGGUCAUCUGUCUCUAAAUCCUCCUCUGAGGAGCUAUCCGUACCCAGCGAGAUAUGUGCUUCGUCAGAUAGCAUAAUCUGCUCUGAAGACCUUGUUUUCACUCCAGAAUUUGCCAUCACCGUGUCAAAUGGCUGAUGCACACGAAGAGCAGUUGAAUGUACUAACAUUGUUGACAACUGUAAUAUGUAACAGAAAAAAAAGAUGGCCUGAUAUAAUUUACAUAUAAGAUGACUGGUUAAGCAGGAUGGCAUUGCAAAAUUCACAUACAUGAUGCCUGGCUAAACAAGGUGGCGUUGCAUAAUUCACAUAAAUGGUGAAUAAACUAAAUGGAUGGCAUUCACACAAAGGAUGUCUAAACUAAGCAGAUGACAUAUUUGAUGUAUAAAGUAAGAAAUGCAAGACACCAUAUGCAUGAUAUAACCAACAUCAGCAUGCCAAGUUAGAGCGAAGACCUCAGGGGGUAAAUAGGAGUUAUCUUCUCCUUCUGAAUCCCCCUCAGAACAUAUAUCUUCCUCUCGAUUACAAUCCGAAAUGUGUGGAGGGGGGGGCUGCCUUUGCGCCUACCAUGGAGCGACGUCUGCAUGAAAUUAUAUUGCCACACAAGGCUCGUCUCUUUUGCUCUACAUGUCCAGCUCCAUUGUUUACAAUAACUGUCAUGCAUAGGAAUAAAACAUAGUGAGAUUAUGUAAGGAGUGCAUGCAGAAAUCCAGAGUGAUGGUAGCAACCUGUGGAUAGACCCAAAACCAAUAAUAGCAGGCAGAUAAUGGCUUCAGUUAAUAAAUACAGAUAAUGGCUUCUUUACUAUUUGUUUCCCACCCAACAUGAAACUCAUAGUAGACACGAGAGAUUAACCAGAUAGUAGAUAGAUACUAUUGAUAGCGGCCCCGAUAUGUACCCCACAACCAUUUAAAAACUCAAGUUUGACCAUUAGUUUGGAGCUGACUCAGAGUCUAAUCGGUGAACAUGACGAUAAAGUAGCAUGUAAUAUUAAGCGAUGCAUAACAUAAGCAGACACGAAAGAGUGCGACCUCUCUUGCGGACCCGUGUAGUCCUCGAGGUCAUCUGCUCGGUUGAUGAUGGUAAUGCAGUUUUCAUGGCUGCCAGCGGCGGGGAAGAAGAUCUGAGGUGGCGAAAGACAGUCUGGAGGACGGAUCCCUGCUAUGCUAGACCCUUCUAUCGUUGGAGCAGCUGAGCUGGGGUGGACGACGGUGCAGAUGGAGCGGGACAAACCACGCAAGGUUUUCUUUGACAACUAUCUGUAAGAGAAGUAAUUCUGUAAGGGCUCAUUUGAAUUGGAGGAUUCCAACAAUGCAGGGAUAGGAAAUAGACAUGAAUAGGAUAGGAAUGCACGUGCAAAACAGAGAAUUUAAAAACACGGGAUUUCUGCCAAUCUGGGUGUUUGAUUCACAACAAUUGGAAGAUCACAGGAUGCAAAGAAGCAUGGUGAGAUUAAGUCAAACCACAAGAAAAUGUACGGUUAUAAUGCUAUUAUGCUACUAUCUCUUAGUCUUGUGUUUCAUGAAUAGGAAUUUGAAAAGGAGGACAAGUGAAAAUUAAAAUUCCUACGUUUUUUCUUUCAAGGAGAUACUAAAGGAACAAUUCCGUGUGCUCAGUGGACAAUAUAUAUAACAUGUUGAGUAAAAAAGAGAUGCAACAACUGUACAACCCCUUUGGCGAAGCCAUGUCGAUCUCAGCGUGAUUCAGUUCGCCGGUGAGGAUGCUCCGGCUGACUUUGCUGUCGGGGGAGGGGAAGAAGAUCUUAGGCGUCUGGAGAUGGAGCCCGAGGUACCGCUCCGCUGUGAUGGAGGGUUUCGUCGUUGGAGCAGCUCCGGUGAGUUGUACACCGCCGAGGCUGAAGCAGGACAAGAGAGACAACGAACAACGUUAACCUGAGUGGAAUUCUAAUAGCAUCUCCAAUACAUGACAUAAAAUACAUAACCACAAAGUGCUAGAUGUAAAAUACAUUAGCCGCUCAUCUCUGAACCUAACUGUCGAAACUGAACUUAACUAUCGAAACUGAACCUAACUGUCGAAACUGAAUUUUGCUGUCAAAACUGAAUUUUGCUGUCGAAACUGAACGCACUAGGUGAGGCUACCCGUCGGUCGACAGACUUUUUCAUCUCUGGUUAGUCGAUUUUGCAGCCGUUGGAUACGAAAUCAAGGGUCUGUGGUUCAUCUUCAACCUCCACCCCCCUGAGCCGCCAGCCACCACCGGCCAAACAACAGCCCCCCGCCGCCGGCGGCCGGCGGUGCGCCACCCCGAAAACACUCCCCACCGCCGGUCCGCUGCCGCCCCGGCCAUCCCUCUAGGCCCCCCCGUGCUGAGCUUUUUCUUCGGCGAUCCCCACGCCACCGCCCCGCCACCGCCGGCGACCACCGCCCCCAUCCUGAACCCUAAGAUAGAUAGUGGGGUACCUCUCCGGCGAGCCCCCAUCCCCGCUGCGGCUAGUUCUUCCUUCACCCCGGCGAGCCCACCCCUAGAAAAUCGACUUACCCAAAAGUCGAUUCAGUCGACUGAAGUGUAGCCAAAUCGGAGCAGCAUCGCAAGCAAGAGCAAGAGCGAGAGAAACAAUGUGAGCAAGAGCAAUAGCAAGAGCAGACCAGCCAGGGGACCGAGAGCAAGAACAGAGCAGCAGCGCGAGCGAGAGCUAAAGCAGCAGCAGCUCCUACUGAUGUGGACGUAGCCGCCGAGGGACCUACGCCGUGGAGGAAGUGGCCGACGACGCCGCCGUGGAUGGAGUCGCGCCGUGUCGGCUCGGGACCGAGCGACGGCAGCACCAUGAGAUCGAAUCAAGAAGAAAAUGCGGCGAUUAGUGUACAACCUCUUUGGUGGCGCCGAUUAGGCCGCAGCUUCAUUCGAGGAAACGGUGAUGAUCAUGCUCUUCCGAUGGUGCAGGUGAAGACGGCGGUGUAGGAAUGGAGGUGGCGCAAAAGACAAGGGGAACGUCGGGGCAGCUCCUUGGAGGUGGAGGACGGGGUGGCUGAACCGGCGGGACGAUGAGAUCGACGACGGAUCCUCAUCCGGUACGGUAGAUGAGGGACGUCGAGGUGUUGCUGUGGACGAUGUCGUCGGGGAAGAGGCUCCGGCUGGGUGGCGGAUGGAGCAGGGUGUGGGGUUUCGUCGCGAGUUUUCGCAGCCUCAGUGUACGAAUGGGUGGGCGGAUGGGAUGGCAGUGGGGAACAAUGGCUUAGGGACGCGCUUGUCCGAAAUGUGGGGUAAGUUAUGAAAGUACCCCCACCAAUUUGAGGUGGUUCUUUCGGUUCAGGGGUACCAUGGGCAUUUCGCGUGUCGGGAUUUCACAUGAGGUGGGAGUUUUCGCGCGCGUUGUAAUUUCGGAAUAGCAAAGCACGGGUUGAGAUGGAGGGAGUUGUCGGAGCACAACGAGACAAAGAUAUAUCUUAAAUAUUUCAGGCUAACAAGGUGCGGGUUGAAAUUUCCGGACAAGCCUACCAAAUCAAUGCGCACAACAAAUGUCAUUCAAAACAUUGAAUUCAUGUUAGGUUCAAUUAAAAUAUUUCGCUACGUGUAUAAUGCAUGCAACCUACUACUCAAAUGAACGUUUUAGUGCAUUCCAAACGUAUAUACUACCGCUUCAAUAUGAACUAAAUUUGAAUAAGAUCUACAGUAAUGAUUGGUGUGAAGUCAAAGCAUUUGAAUUUGUUUCUCUGUUUUAAUAAGAUCUACAAUCAUCAUUAUUGUCAAGUUAAACCAUCGUUUGUGUAUUAUCUUCACAGCACACCACAUGAUUAGUCUCGAGUUACAUAUGAACUAUGUGUACUAUAUGAACUCGAACUAGAUUUUUUGAAUCCACUUUAUUUUGAUUUCAAAUCACAUUACAUUUCUAGCUCUAGCUAGAUCUUCAUAAUCUAAACCAUGUCUCAUAUGUAUAAUGUGUUUAUCACAUUAUGUAUGGUGCCCCGCCCCCUACGCCUCAAAGUAUUUAGAUGUGAGUUACAAACACCACACAUUACCGCAAAUUCAAAUAAAAUAUGAGAAUGUUCGAUAUAUAGUAUUUUUUAGAUUGCUCGAUAUUUAGUUGUAAGCUGCAAACGCCGCACAUUAUCAAAAAUUCAAAUAAAAUGUGAGAUUGUUUGAUGUAUAGUAUGGUUUAGAUUGUUCGGCAUUUAGCUGUGAGUUGGAAAUGCCAUGCAUUAUCACAUUAUGGUAUAACAUGUGCACAACACGUGUAUCACCGCUAUAUUCAUGCAUGCAAUGAUUAAAACACUAUGAUCUCCUAUUCAAAUAUAUGAAUCCGCUUUCAUAUCAAAUUAUGAUCUUUGUUAGUCUCUUACACCCACACAAUCCUCUAACCUUUGUAGCUACCACUAACUUUCUCUCGUGCAUGCACACGCCCUCCUCGCCCUCCCCCUCCCUCGGCAUUCUAUCCACCGGGCACAUUCAUUUUUUCUUUAGGUCGUUCUCCCAGAGUCUCCACAACUCCUUUCCGACACACAUCGAUCGAUAAACCUCUCCAGCGAUGCCUGCCUACAGCAUACACACAUAGCUUUAAUCUCCUCCUUUAUGUGUCCUUGCCUCGUGUCUCUCAUAUGGUCAGGCACACGUGUAAACUCUCGCCCCUCUUUUCAUCGAUCUCACAACCGCACACUCCUCCCCCUAUCUAGCUAGUAGUUGGGCCUCUCGCACCACCUCCUAGCUCCAUUCUCUCUGUCUAUCCGUCUCGCUGGGCCUUAUUUGCCUCUGACAAAUGGACGUACACCGACCGAUCUCUCGCUAUACAUAUAGCCAGCUAGGUCCUUAUAACUCGUUUUUACCCACACAUCGAUCGAUCUACCUCAUUAGUUGUGUCUCUCCCUUCCUCCGACAAACAACAAUUGAUCUACCGAUCUAGUUAGGUUUGCUUACCAAACACAUGGUUCUCCUUCAUCAUCCAUGGAUGCGUCCCGAGAGAUCUAUCAUGCACAGGCACACACAGAAACACAUCCCCACUCUUAUUGAUAACAUUGCAGUUCCACCCUCAGUUUGUCUAGUAGGCCUCUCCCAACAUAUCCGAGAAGCAACUCCAUCACCCAUCAAGCACUCUACCCCUCUCCCUCCCUCUNNNNNNNNNNNNNNNNNNNNNNNNNNNNNNNNNNNNNNNNNNNNNNNNNNNNNNNNNNNNNNNNNNNNNNNNNNNNNNNNNNNNNNNNNNNNNNNNNNNNNNNNNNNNNNNNNNNNNNNNNNNNNNNNNNNNNNNNNNNNNNNNNNNNNNNNNNNNNNNNNNNNNNNNNNNNNNNNNNNNNNNNNNNNNNNNNNNNNNNNNNNNNNNNNNNNNNNNNNNNNNNNNNNNNNNNNNNNNNNNNNNNNNNNNNNNNNNNNNNNNNNNNNNNNNNNNNNNNNNNNNNNNNNNNNNNNNNNNNNNNNNNNNNNNNNNNNNNNNNNNNNNNNNNNNNNNNNNNNNNNNNNNNNNNNNNNNNCACACACAAUUUCGAUGGCUCUCCUCAUCGAUCUCGCACCCACCCGUACUUGAUCCUCUCUUUGGCUCUAUCGAUAGCUAUGACCCCUCCCUCUCUUCUCGUGGAUUUCCCGACCCUCUAUGUAUGAUAUGGACAGGCCUCCAUUUCACACACAUUGCAUGCAAAAAUUUGUUUGAGAUGUCAUCGACACAUAUUCCCACAAAUAAUUCACGAAAUCAACCCCCACCCCACCCCCACCCCCACCACAAAACAAAAAACACUCACGAACGCGGUUUGUAUCUCUCACACACACCCACGUAGGUGGGGGACGUGCACGAAGAGAAGAGGUGCAUGCACGGCGCACGUACUCCCAUUUCUUUCCCAACCANNNNNNNNNNNNNNNNNNNNNNNNNNNNNNNNNNNNNNNNNNNNNNNNNNNNNNNNNNNNNNNNNNNNNNNNNNNNNNNNNNNNNNNNNNNNNNNNNNNNNNNNNNNNNNNNNNNNNNNNNNNNNNNNNNNNNNNNNCCCCCACCACAAAACAAAAAGCACUCAAAAACGCGGUUUGUAUCUCUCACACACACCCACGUAGGUGGGGGACGUGCACGAAGAGAAGAGGUGCAUGCACGACGCAUGUACUCCCGUCUCUUUCCCAACCACACCCGCACGGGUACACGGUGGAGCUCAUUUCUGUACGAAAAAGGCAGCCCACGUGGUAAUUUGGCAUGUGUACUGGUUGUCCACUUGGUGGAGGGAGGAUCGUCUACCACGGGUGAACAAACAAAUUGCGACUUGACGUGUUAUGUUAAAUUAAAAAAAGAGGCAAACCAUGUGGGGCCUAGCUUAGAGGCAAGGCUAUAUACACUGGAGUACUUUUGAUGUGUCCCAUCAACUCGCAGAACGAGGAGAAGCUUGCUUAGUACGCCGUCUCCCCCGCCCAUGGGCGCGGUGGCUCGCAGGAUGAGGUGAAUCUUGCUCCUCCCUCGCCCAUGCGCGCAGUGGCUCGCAGGACGAGGAGAAAAAUUUACUACUCCCUCCGUUUACUCCUCGUCCCUACUACCUUGGUUAUAGAGAUUAUAUCAUAUUGUUUGGAACAUAUAUGUCCUUUAGUAGAUUUCAAUAUGAACUACUAGUACAUACUCCAAACACUGAUGUAUAUAGACGUAUUUUAGAGUGUACAUUCACUCAUUUUGCUCCGUAUGUAGUAGCACUCAGUUUGGGUGUUUGGUAGAGUGCAUGGAGGGUGCAUGAGUCCACACUAGUUUAGCACAAAUACACUAGAAGCAUGCAUGAAGAGAGCAUGCAUGAAGAGGGGUGUUGAGUUGAGCAUGCAUGAAGAGGGAACAACUAUGCUGAGACGAGAACGCAACCAAACACACCCUGUAUGCCACACAUGUUCAUACAAUUUGUGCCUUUCUACUUCACUUAUUGCGCUACAUUACUCAGGUUCGUACGUCCACUCCUGGGUACAUGUCCGUCUCGUAGUUCCAGUGCCACGUGUUCUUCAUAUAGAUGGAACGAUCGUUGCAUAACACGUGCACCUUGAUGCUAGAUGUCUCGCGUGUUGGCAAAAGGAUGAACAAAGCUCACGUAAAAAAAUAGAGUGGAAGAACAUAGAUUCUGGACGACCGAGAAGGAGCAAGGAACCUCGUGGUGGAGCGUCUGCACUCAUGAUAUUUAAUAUUAUUCAGCGAUAUAAAAUUAACCAAUCAUCUCCACAGUGGACUGGAAGAGUACAAAACACGGCAGCCCAGUGUAGUUACAUCAUACUAGUAAGUACAUGGCUAAUCCACGCUAUCACCAUAUUUCUUGGCUUCUGUGCGACACCUAUCUCUAGUAAUCCAGCAGCCUGUAUCGCUUCUCCCUCCUCGUCUCUAUCAAAGUGCGGCGGGUUGGCGUUUUUGCCAUCUAUUGAGGUCGGUUAACUAUCACAUGUUAGCGACAUGCCAAGAGCAUUCUAAAAAAAAUUCCUUUCAUUUUCCGUUUUCAAAAAGAAAAAAAAUCCUUUCACGUACGAAUUUGCAUGUAUGCUUUUGAGCAACUUGCAUGUCCUAUAUUGCUCCUGUUUGAUACUCUAACUUAGCUAUAUGUUAGACUAACUCAUGACUAACCCUGAACUAACUGUAGCCAAAGAGGUGUUUGGGUGACAGGGUUAGAUUGACAAUAAAUGCACUUCAUGGAGAGAGAAAAGUGAUUUUUCAGUGGUCCCAAUGAGAACUAUCUCCAGUUAGCACCUCUUGGGUGGGAUAGUUUUUUUGGUGGGUUCGGUGCAACUUGCUCCAAUUUAAACCCUCAUGCUUGGAUACUUUAGGGCUAUUUGAGCCCCAACUAGCUCAAACUAACUCUAACCCAUGGAUCGAAACAGGGCCUAUGGCCAGUCUCGAUGCGAAGCAGUCGCGUGCACCGGGAAGCGGCGCUCUCUCGACCGUCACGCCACUUCAAAGCCAGUGCCAGUGAGAGGUCGCCUCCGCUCUAGCCGGGCAUUAAUGCGGCACUGACGCUCCAGGGCGACGUUGACCGUUCCACGCGGGAAGCGCGCGCUGGCAAGGGAGUAUAGGUUUUGAACCAUUUUAGACGUAUUUUAGAGUGUACAUUCACUCAAUUUGCUCCGUAUGUAGUAGCACUCUCCCUCGCCCCUCGACCCUCGCCCACGUGGUGGACGUGCAGCAAUUCAUUCGGUCUCAUAUAGCCAAAACGAUAUAUACUGUACUACCAUUAUUGCUCGACUUCCCGAAGAGGCGAAGAGCCAAUCGCAAGGUUAAUAUUUUGGAGAUGCUAAGCGCAAGGUUAUAGGAGAACGAGUAGUAGGUGCCACGUCAUUUAUAAAUAAUUUUUUUUUCUUCAGUGGCACGUAUGCAAUAUGAUAGGUUCAUAUGGAGAGAAAAGGAAACCGCUCCACUAUAUACAUAGUCAGGACGGGCCAACCUACACGGUUGCUUGCUGGGGUAGCUCUCUUCACACUCUCUCGCACAAAACGACUGUGGCCACAUCUCUAACAUCCCGGUGGAUCACGUCCGCUUGGGGAAGGGGUGGAUGCUUAGUGUAGAUGCGGUGGCUGUUGCCGACAGCGAAAACCCACUGUCGGCACGUCCCGAUCAAGGGUCCCCGCCGUUCUCUCUCACAAAGCCGGUGAGGUUUCCUUCAUCCCUUGAUCACUGUCGUGACAUGGGCAGUUGCCGCCUCCCGCCGCCCUCCUCAAGGUUGAGCUACGUCCCUCAGGUACAACUCCCUUUACAGCCAGCUUGCACCACUGCUCCAGCUGCCCACAUCACUCCCUGUGGAUAUUUCUCUACUUCUUUGCCCCACACAUACCUGAUACCUCUACUGGCUUCUACGUACUGUAUUUGUGAUGAGUUUAUGUCUCAUCAACUAGUCCUAGUAAUCUUAUUCUAUCACGCUUCUUCAAUUUCUUUGCCACAGGGAUGCUCAUCUCGAUUUUGGUGAAACUGCACAAAAUGAACCGAUGGUCAAAAGGUUGCAAACUUCAUUUAUUAGGCAGCUCGAACAUUGCCAGCAAAUUGAAGCCUGGUCAGGGUUCACGGUUCAAGGGCUAGGGACUGCAUGGAUCAUUUUUUUCUUUAGCUACCUCUAUUCCAAAAUAAGUGUCAACUUUAGUAGUAGUACAACUUUGUACUAAAGUUUGCACAAAGCUGAGACACUUAUUUUGGAAAGGAGGGAGUACAUAUUUGCUAUGAUCUGUCAAUCAUUGAGAUGCAAUAGCAUGCAUGUUAGUCUCCUUUGUAUUUGAUGAAAUGUUGCAACAGGCAACCUUGGACGCAAGAUACAUGUAACAGGAGCUGGAAGCUUCAUAGCAUUGUACAAAUUUAUCUUGCUGAUAAAUUACAGUAUGUACUAGUACUAUACUAGUACUUCCUCCGUUCCUAAAUAUAAGUCUUUGUAGAGAUGUCACCAUUAACCACAUGCGGAUGUAUAUAGAUGCAUUUUAAGUGUAGAUUCAUUCAUUUUGUUCCGUAUGUAGUUCACCUAGUGGAAUCUCUACAAAGACUAAUCUACUAGUACUAAUAGCUAGCCCUCGCUAGUAGGAAUUCUCUAUCCUCUCCUUGAGCCACAUCAUCAAAAUUGACGUAGCCGUUAGAUGAAGUAAAUCAGUCAGAAUAGCCAUCUGAUCUAGAUGUUGAGAGGCUCCGCACUAAGCCACAUGCAAGCAUGCAGAAAUACCGUGGCACAUGCAUGUGAGUGGGUUUUAAAUCACAUCAACAUGUCUGCAUGCAAGCAUGCACCGGUAGCAUGCAUGUAAGUGAGCUUUUAAGUCCCAUUAACAUGUCAAAAAGAAAAAUAUAAUCCCAUUAUGCAGUAGGAGUUGGCUGAUCUUUUUUCCUUACGUGGGAUGAUCUAAAUGAUGAUGGGAGUUUAUUAAGUUUGGCUACCACAUUUGUCAUGCGGUUAUAGAUUUUUUUUUGUUCUAUGAAAUCGAUAAUUUUGCGCAGAGAGAUAUAUCGCUGUUCCGCGGCAACGCGCGGGGACUCACGGUGAUAGUGUGAGGUGGGCCAUGUAAUCACUGAGCCUGCGUGUUUUCACUGCUCUUGCACUCCUCCGCUGUAAGAAUGGAGAAAAUUGUAAUCUACUACCUCCUUUCACCAAAAGCGUGGGACAUCCAGCAGUCCUACCACCUCAGUAAUAAAGACCAAUGAGCCGUCAAAUCACAUAGACCCAGCAGUAAGUUGGACGGACAAAGCAACCAUCACUCUUGCGCCAGUGAGAGGUCGCGUCCGAUCUGCCCGGGCAUGAAUGCGGCACCGAUUCUUUGGAGCGGCGCUGACCGUUUCGGGCGGGAAGCGCGCGCGGGCGAUGGAGGGGCUUUGGGUGGGCCAGGCUGGUUAGGAGCGGGAGUGGAAGCUGUCCGCAUGUCCCUACCAGACACGCCCGGAAACGAGAGGAUGCACCGACUCUCGCGGCUAAAAUCGUACACUACACACCAUAUCUCUGUAGGAGUAGGUCGAUCUGUCGCACUCUCUAACACACACAUGCUGUUAAACACACACAUGCACAUGCACACACCUUGGUCCCGUUGCACCUUCUAACGUGACUUAUUACACCUAGAUGGAGGGAGUAGUAAGUAUACGAGAUACGGUGGCACACUAACUUAAGUCAAAUACAAGUGCCCAAAAUUUGUGUGCAUGUUAUAAUAAGGAUUCACUUAAAAUAGUACGUGAGCGAACAGAGGGAUCAAUUGGACAGUGUUCCCGAGCAGUAGCGAGAUGUGUGAGGUAGUAAGAUACACCGCUGGCACUUUUAAUUUUUCUUAUUAAUUUGUUUGUUUCACCCUCUGACUGGUGGGACCCAACGUACUACGUGGAGAGAGGUAAGGUGACUAAGACUGCAUUAUUUCUGCAUCACUGUGGAUAGUCUUACCACCAAAGCCACAUGACACGAUUAUGAUUGAAAUCCUAAUGACUCCCACACACACACAAAAAAACACG